GAUGGUGCAAGAAGUUGGAGUUCUACAUGUAGUCAUUCCAUUACUGCUCACUAGUCAAAGUAACCAUGAGAAGAAUUAUAGGUUUGUAGUAAUUCUCUACCAUAGACUAUGGACUAAUUGUAUCCUCCUUCUAUGUUAAAAGAAUUGAUUGCAUAUGAAUAAAUUGGAUGCAAGACAUAAUUAUUUUUCUCUCAACAUUUACUCAUAAAGCUUUCAAAGCUUCAAAUCUCUGAUAGACAAGAUGUUGAUUGUAUCUGUCAAUAUACAGCAUUUCAUGUUACUUCUGAACAAACUGAACAACUUUUGUGAAUUUACAGAAGUGAUACGUAUUUAUGAACUAUAUCUCACCUGGGCAGCAACGGCCUUGAAUACUUGAAUGCCAAUGCUAAUUCAUAAACUGAGAGAUCAAAAGUAUUCCACGAUGAAGUUGGGCAAUCAUAACUUAGGAAAUCACCCUAUUGUCUAUGCAAGCGAUGAACCACGAAAAGUCAUACCAUCACCUUCAAUUCAGAAGCCGGGCUAGGAUAUCUGGUAGAUAAUUGGUAUUCAGGUCAACAUUUUACCUCUUCAGUGUUGCCUAGCAUGCUUACGUCUCAAAUAAUCGCAACUCAAUAUUAACACAAACACGUUCUGAUUUUUUGCAUAUGCUGAGUGAAAUUUUUGGUUUAAAAAAGAAUCAUCAAAUGUUUUCCCUUUGCCUCAAAUAUGUAAUUUCCUGAACUCAAUCUUCUCUAGCAGGGAGUUUUGUAUUGGUUUAAUCCUUCUAUUCAUGAAUUUGGUCUGCGAAUAACCAAUAUUGAUAAUUUCUUCCACAAAGAAUAUAUAUUCCUCUUCCUGUUCUAUUGUCUGCAUGACAACUUCAAUUGAGCACCCAUCUCACUCAACAUAGAGUAAACCAUGCUUCUCUUGUGGGCUGAUCUAGUUUUCUGAGACAUAUCUGAUUGUAAAUCCAUCAAGUGCACAAGGCUAGACCCAGCUUCCUUUUCUGUGCCCUUUUCUUUCAUCAACUUUCUUACAUUCUCCACAUCAUCCCAUCUCCCUUCUGUGGCAUAUAUGUUGGACAAUAACACGUAUGGCCCAAUAUCCCCUGGUUCCAUAUCAAUUAAUCGCUUUGCAACAAUCUGUCCAAGUUCUAGUCUGGAGUAGGUCCUGCAUGCCGAAAGUACAGACCCCCAUAGAGCUGUUCCCGCUUCCACGGGAAUUGUCUUAACAAGUUCUUCACUAUCAUGCACCAAGCCAGCCCGGCCAAGGAGAUCAACCAUGCAACCAUAGUGCUCAAUUUUGGGCUCUAUAUUGUAAACUCUAUGCAUUAAAUCAAAGUACCACCAGCCCUCUAACACCAUCCCAGCAUGAUUACAUGCACUUAGGAUGCAUGUAAAAGUGGCAUCAUUUGGCAUCAGUCCACACUUUUCCAUCUCCAUGAACAUUUCAAGAGCUUUUUCUCCAUGCCCUUGCAUCCCAUAUCCCAUAAUCAUAGAAUUCCAUGAUACAACACUUCUAUCUGGCAUCUCAUCAAAGAUCAACUUAGCCAAAUCCAUAGCCCCACAUUUUGCAAACAUUGUCAAGAGAGUUGUCAUAAGCAACACAUCUGGCUUGAUUUGUUCACUACCUUUUAUAUAAGAAUGAAUCCAUUGACCUCGAUCAAGCCUUCCCAGAUGUCCACAAGAGAUCAGAACACUUACAAGUAUAGCCUCAUUUGGCUGAACAUCUCCUUCCACCAUCAUCUCAUCAAACAAUCUCAAACACUCAGAAUAGUCCUUCAACCUCACGUAAAGAGCCAACAUAGUAGUCCAAGAAACCAUAUUCCGGCAAUCCAUUUGAUCAAAUAACAUCCUCGCUCCAUCUUUAUUUCCAGUCCUGGCAUAGCCAUCAAUCAUACAAUUCCAAGAAACAACAUCACGAGAAGGCAUCUCCUCAAACAACUCCUUUGCCGCCACCAUAUCCCCAACCCCUACAUACCCUGUAAUCAUUGAAUUCCAACUAAAAACAUCCCUUUCGUGCAUCCCAUCGAAAAUCUGCCUUGCAAAACCCAGUUCUCCAUUCUUCACAUACCCAUCAAUCAUAGUGUUCCACGUUACCAAAUCUGAGUCAGAACAUAAAUCAAAUACCUUCCUUGCAUCCCAAAUUUUAAAACAAACAGAAUACAUAUGAAUCAGAGCAUUCCUAACAAAUAAAUCCAACUCAAACCCACAUUUCACAACACGACAAUGAAUCUUUAUCCCUUCAUCUAACAAACCCACAUCAGCACAAGCUUUAACUAAUAUAGGAAAAGUAUAAUUAUUCUGAGAGAUGCAAUUUUUAACCAUUCCAUUAUAGUAAAAGGCCAAUGCCUUUUUUGGGUCAUUGAAUCUCACAUAUCCUCUAAUUAUAGUAUUACAUGAAAAAGCAUCAGGGUUUUCAAGAUUAUCAAAUAUUUUAAUGGCAAAAGGAAGUGUCGAUUGAGAAGAACAGAGUUUUUUAAUUGCUCUGCCGGAAGCAAGUGGGUGUUGAAUGAGGCCCGAGACAACGAGUUGGGUAUAAAUUUGGUUGAAAUGGUAGAGAUUAGGACUGAUAGAGUCUAAAAUGCGCAGGAUGGGGUGGCUAAGAUCUAAAAUCUGCACCCCAUCAUGGUCUAGAUGGCUGGGGACUCGUUUAUCGGCAUCAGACCAGAGUUUUGGAGUUGGCCUGGCAAGGUUUCUCUGGGUUUUGAUGAACUUUUCAAGGGUUCUUGAGGAAAGGUCGAUUGAAUUUCUGGCGGCUCUGAGCCUAACGGUCAUCUUUUUCCCUCCAAGAUUUGGCGGCAAGAUCAGAUAGGGAUCGUAUAGUUUGGUGUUUUACAGUUAAAUUUCUGUAUAAUGAUGCUUACUUCAUCACUUUACACCCCGUACUCUUGUCAAAAUAAUUUUAGAAAAGUCGUUCAGAAAAAGAAAAAAAACUUUGGUUUGAACUCUUAUAGAUGCUUUUAGCUUGGCCAGAUUAUUAUAGGUCAUGAAUUGAAAUGAUAUUUCAUCAAUUAGAUGUUUUGAGGUGUUUUUAUAAAACUUUUAUUGAAACUUCUUUUUUGAUUAAUGUAGUACAAAAAAUGUUAAUUGAGAAAUACGUUUAAAGUUCUUCAGAAAUAUGCUUACGAAGAAUAGUGGAAUACAAAUUAAGCCACUGCAGCAUUUUUUUUCCAUUAUGUGAAUUUCUUAUACUAUAAUUAUCUUAUUGAGGUAGAACCAAACAUGGAAAAAUAUACUAUACAAACAUUUUGUUGAAACUUCAUUUGAUUUCUUGAUAAAACUUUCUUGAAGGUACUUUUAUCAAGCAUGUUUAACCUGUUGUCAACUUAAUAAGGUAAAAUUUUCAUAUUCGUACUGGCUAAUCAAUUUCUAUCACUCAAGUUUGUGAAGACAAAAAAUCAAAUCUUACAAAGCAAUGUGCUAAAUCACUUCCAAAAAAAAAGUCACUGUAGGCAGACUUGAAUUGGACUACUUUGGAGCUUAAAAAGUGCACAAAUAACUUGGGUGGAAGUAGAGGUGGCAAAUCAACCCAUUUAACUAAAUUUCUCCAUAUCCGCUCAUGAAUAGAUGGGUAUAGGUAUUUUAAAUUUUUGUAUAUGAGUAUAAAUGGAUUAUGUAGACACCAAAUUUUUGGUGUAAUUUCAUUUACUGUUUAUUUUUAGUUUUUUUUAUUAGUCGUGUUAGUUUAUUCGGUUUUUAGCUUUUAGUUUAUAGUUUUAUUUUUUAUUUUUAAGUUUAGCAUAGAAUUUCUUGAAAAAAAAAAGAGAGGGAAAAGGAAAAAGAAAAAAUGGAAAAAGAAAAAAAUGAAAAAAUGGAAAAAUGAAAAAAAAGGGGGAAAAAGAAAAUGGUUCACAAAAAUACGUUUAUUUCUCUUAAAUUCAAUCUUUUGGCAUUUUGUUUAUUUUUGUUAAUUUAUUUUGAAAAAAUGAAAAAAAGAAAAAUUAAAAAUGGCCAUUUUUGUUUAGUUUUUUGUUUAAAAUUAUUUUUGUUUUGUUAUUAUUAUUAUUACCUGGUUUGUGUAAUUUUGUUAUUAUUAUUAUUUAUAUUUUAUUUUAUCAUUUCUGUAAUUAUCAAGUUGUUUUAAAAAAAAAUUAAUUAAAAUUAAAAAAAAAUUACCGCAGCAUGCACGCUGCAAUUUUUUGCAGCGUGCAAGGUACAACUUCAAUAGCCAUCGGAUGGCUGGAUGGAAGAGGGAGGAUAAGCUCUUCAUCCUCACCAUCCGAGAGAGGGUUUACGGAUUGGAGCUCAUAUAAAAGGAACAAGAAUCAGCAGCCGCAAGGAGGAGGAAGGAUAGAGAGCACGGCUGAAAGGAAAAUUCUGAAGAAAAACAGAAAUCAGAGAGAAUAGGCAUCAAGUGACGGCUGCAAAACCAAAAGGAAAACAGCAAGGAAGAAAAAAGGGAGUGAACGGCAAAAAGAAAGAAACAAGAGAAAGGCUUGCGAGGAAAAUGGGACAGGGAUAAUUGGCGGCAUAGGUUCUGGGCAGAAGAAAGGGCUGGGUUCAGAAAAGAAAGAGUGAAAGAGAGAGACCAAAGAGGGGAGGUCAAGAGUAGGAACGAAGCAGCACCAGAGGAGGAGGAAAACAAGAAACCGAGGGAAGUCUUGUCAGCGGGAAACCAAGGAGAAAGCCGGCAAAGGAAGGUACCGGAGCUGAGGUAAGAGACUGAAGUUUUCAUUUUUUUUCCAUCAUUCACCCGAAUCCAGAUUCAAAAACCUCAGGUCUUUUCUUUAAAAACCGGUUUCUUAGCUUCUCCGUUUUCCCUUCGUGACUGAGUUGGGUCUCGCGUUUUGUUUCCUGUUUUGUUAUUUGUGUCGCUAUUGAUGUUUCAACCGUUACUGAGUUAGGGGUUUGCUGUUAUCUCUAUGGCUUUAAUCUUGUCUAUGGAGUGUGUAUGACCAGGUUUUGAUAGGAAGUGAGUUUGAACUAUUGGGUUUUCAUGGGUUUUGCUGAUCUUCUGGGUUGAUUAUAUCGGAUAAAAUUGUAGAAAGUAGCCAAAGUUUGCAUUUUUCUGUUUUUCAGAUUUUCUGGGGGAAGGCAGGCAGUGGCUAAAACUAUGAUUUUAUUGUUUGACGCAAAGUAAUUUGGGUUGAAGAUUUGGGUCAUUUGGGUGAGGUAUCUACAAGUUUCAUCGAGGCAAAUAAACGUUUAUAAACAUGCUGGAAUUGUAGAAAGGAAGUUGAGCAAGUCUGUUCUAAUGUUGCGUUGGUCGCUGCUCUUCUUGUUCUUGUUGUUUGUUUGGGUGUCGGGUUAUGGUUUGGCAUAUAUUUGUGCAUACAAGUCUGCUGCAACAAGCUUGAAGUUGGCUUGUUGAAGCAGCGUGGAAUUUUUUCUUUUGAUUGCCCAAAGCUCGAAGCUUUCUUCUCUUAGGUUGCUGAAAUUUGUUGUUCAACUCUUAGUAUUUAUUGCUACUCCUGGAUUGCUGUGUCCAUUAUAUGCUCAUGAGAAAUCUAAUGAAUGUUAGGCUGCAAGUUUUCUGUGGUCUCUGGAAUGAAAGCUCAAAUGGCCAAAAAUUUUCCAAAUUGCCGCAUGCUCUCUCUUGCGUUUUUUUUAGUGCAUAAAAAUGAGACUUUGUGUUUGAAAAUGGGAUGAAUGCUGGGUAAUGUUGUUGUUUGGAUCCAAAUUUUGUUGGUUUUGCCAUUAGGCAAGUUUGUAUGGCAUCCAAAAUUCACCAGAAAUUUGAACCCAACAUGCUAGAGUUUAGGUGAGGCGGCAAGAAAUGUUUUUCUGGUUGUUGUGAAUCUGUUGAGGGGAAUGGAUCUUGAAUAAACUAAACAAUUUUUGCCUCAACAUGGAAAACAAAUUUGGUUGUUUAGUGAUAAGAUAUAAACUAAACAAUUUGAAUCCACCAAAACAUCAAACUUUCCCUCAAUUGCAACUCAAUGAAGUCAAAACUACUUAAAAACCAAGGCAGAAGGCAUGAUCAUCCAAACCCCAAGCAUAACGUCUACUAAAGACCCAAAAGCAAGCACUACUCAACCAUUUGAACCUAAUUGAAACAUUUAAAAACACAAAAAGUUCCCCAAGUAAAUAACAAGAUCCAAACAAACAUUAUGGAAUUUUGAAGGUCAAAGAAUGAACAAGGGUCCACGAAUGAUUUAAACAUGCAUUUUGAAAACUCAAUAGCAACCAUUAAUCAACCAAAUAAAACCAAUUGAAAAAUUUAAGAGCUUCAAAAGUCCCAAAAACAAUGAAAGGCCAAAUGAUGACUCAAAAUACACCCACCUUAGGACCUAUCCCAUUUAAAUUUCUGUCCGGGUCUAUCCCGUUUGCAUUUUCUGUUCGGGUCUAUCCCAUGGGUCUAUCCCAUUUAAAUUUCUGUCUGGGUCUAUCCCAUUUUACAUUUUCUGUUCGGGUCUAUCCCGUGGGUCUAUCCCAUUUAAAUUUCUGUCUGGGUCUAUCCCAUUUUACAUUUUCUGUUCGGGUCUAUCCCGUGGGUCUAUCCCAUUUUUCAUUUUCUGUUCGAGUCUAUCCCAUUUACGUUUCUGUUUGGGUCUAUCCCAUUUUACAUUUUCUGUUCGGGUCAGUCCCGUUUUUAAUUUUAUGUUUGGGUCAGCCCCAUUUUUGGAAUCAUUUUUGCAGCCAAAUAAUGCAGGUAAGUAUUUGGUGUCUAUUUCUUUGUCUCAAGUUUUUUCAAAACUCAGACAAAGAGGGGCAAACUGUAGACACCAAAUUUUUGAUGUAAUUUCAUUUACUGUUUAUUUUUAGUUUUUUUUAUUAGUCGUGUUAGUUUAUUCGGUUUUUAGCUUUUAGUUUAUAGUUUUAUUUUUUAUUUUUAAGUUUAGCAUAGAAUUUCUUGAAAAAAAAAAGAGAGGGAAAAGGAAAAAGAAAAAAUGGAAAAAGAAAAAAAUGAAAAAAUGGAAAAAUGAAAAAAAAGGGGGAAAAAGAAAAUGGUUCACAAAAAUACGUUUAUUUCUCUUAAAUUCAAUCUUUUGGCAUUUUGUUUAUUUUUGUUAAUUUAUUUUGAAAAAAUGAAAAAAAGAAAAAUUAAAAAUGGCCAUUUUUGUUUAGUUUUUUGUUUAAAAUUAUUUUUGUUUUGUUAUUAUUAUUAUUACCUGGUUUGUGUAAUUUUGUUAUUAUUAUUAUUUAUAUUUUAUUUUAUCAUUUCUGUAAUUAUCAAGUUGUUUUAAAAAAAAAUUAAUUAAAAUUAAAAAAAAAUUACCGCAGCAUGCACGCUGCAAUUUUUUGCAGCGUGCAAGGUACAACUUCAAUAGCCAUCGGAUGGCUGGAUGGAAGAGGGAGGAUAAGCUCUUCAUCCUCACCAUCCGAGAGAGGGUUUACGGAUUGGAGCUCAUAUAAAAGGAACAAGAAUCAGCAGCCGCAAGGAGGAGGAAGGAUAGAGAGCACGGCUGAAAGGAAAAUUCUGAAGAAAAACAGAAAUCAGAGAGAAUAGGCAUCAAGUGACGGCUGCAAAACCAAAAGGAAAACAGCAAGGAAGAAAAAAGGGAGUGAACGGCAAAAAGAAAGAAACAAGAGAAAGGCUUGCGAGGAAAAUGGGACAGGGAUAAUUGGCGGCAUAGGUUCUGGGCAGAAGAAAGGGCUGGGUUCAGAAAAGAAAGAGUGAAAGAGAGAGACCAAAGAGGGGAGGUCAAGAGUAGGAACGAAGCAGCACCAGAGGAGGAGGAAAACAAGAAACCGAGGGAAGUCUUGUCAGCGGGAAACCAAGGAGAAAGCCGGCAAAGGAAGGUACCGGAGCUGAGGUAAGAGACUGAAGUUUUCAUUUUUUUUCCAUCAUUCACCCGAAUCCAGAUUCAAAAACCUCAGGUCUUUUCUUUAAAAACCGGUUUCUUAGCUUCUCCGUUUUCCCUUCGUGACUGAGUUGGGUCUCGCGUUUUGUUUCCUGUUUUGUUAUUUGUGUCGCUAUUGAUGUUUCAACCGUUACUGAGUUAGGGGUUUGCUGUUAUCUCUAUGGCUUUAAUCUUGUCUAUGGAGUGUGUAUGACCAGGUUUUGAUAGGAAGUGAGUUUGAACUAUUGGGUUUUCAUGGGUUUUGCUGAUCUUCUGGGUUGAUUAUAUCGGAUAAAAUUGUAGAAAGUAGCCAAAGUUUGCAUUUUUCUGUUUUUCAGAUUUUCUGGGGGAAGGCAGGCAGUGGCUAAAACUAUGAUUUUAUUGUUUGACGCAAAGUAAUUUGGGUUGAAGAUUUGGGUCAUUUGGGUGAGGUAUCUACAAGUUUCAUCGAGGCAAAUAAACGUUUAUAAACAUGCUGGAAUUGUAGAAAGGAAGUUGAGCAAGUCUGUUCUAAUGUUGCGUUGGUCGCUGCUCUUCUUGUUCUUGUUGUUUGUUUGGGUGUCGGGUUAUGGUUUGGCAUAUAUUUGUGCAUACAAGUCUGCUGCAACAAGCUUGAAGUUGGCUUGUUGAAGCAGCGUGGAAUUUUUUCUUUUGAUUGCCCAAAGCUCGAAGCUUUCUUCUCUUAGGUUGCUGAAAUUUGUUGUUCAACUCUUAGUAUUUAUUGCUACUCCUGGAUUGCUGUGUCCAUUAUAUGCUCAUGAGAAAUCUAAUGAAUGUUAGGCUGCAAGUUUUCUGUGGUCUCUGGAAUGAAAGCUCAAAUGGCCAAAAAUUUUCCAAAUUGCCGCAUGCUCUCUCUUGCGUUUUUUUAGUGCAUAAAAAUGAGACUUUGUGUUUGAAAAUGGGAUGAAUGCUGGGUAAUGUUGUUGUUUGGAUCCAAAUUUUGUUGGUUUGGCCAUUAGGCAAGUUUGUAUGGCAUCCAAAAUUCACCAGAAAUUUGAACCCAACAUGCUAGAGUUUAGGUGAGGCGGCAAGAAAUGUUUUUCUGGUUGUUGUGAAUCUGUUGAGGGGAAUGGAUCUUGAAUCCUUGAUUUUGCAUCAUUGUAUGGUUUGUGUUAAGUUGGGUCUUAUGGGAUUAAUUGAUAGGCUUGCACGUUUCCUUUCCUUUUAUGUCCACGGCUGUUUUCUUGCAUGAAUGAAGGCCGAGAAUUGCAGAAAGUUUUCCAUGUUUUGCAUCAUUUCUUUUUCUGUUUUUUUUUUUUUACUUGUUUGAAUGCCAAUUUGUGUGUUGUGUUGCUUAACUCAAAGUGUGGACAUUGGGUUGAGAAGGUUUGAUUGAAGUUUGUGCUAAAUUCGGAAGGUUGUGUUUAAAAGAUGAAAUUGCCGCAAGCUUGGAAGCAAAAGUCAGCAGAUUUCAUUCUUUUUAGUUGCAGAUUUUGAAGCUCUUUACGUAUGCAUGCAUGAAACAAAUUCUGAACUUUGCACUUAAACCCCUCAAAUUUCCCUUUGGCUCACUAUGGCCCAAGUAAUUUGAAUACUUAAUCAAUUUAAUCCCUCAAGCUUCUCCAUGUUCCAUAAAAGCCCAAGCAUGUUCUCAUUUCUUUACAAUUAGGUCCUAAGGUGGGUGUAUUUUGAGUCAUCAUUUGGCCUUUCAUUGUUUUUGGGACUUUUGAAGCUCUUAAAUUUUUCAAUUGGUUUUAUUUGGUUGAUUAAUGGUUGCUAUUGAGUUUUCAAAAUGCAUGUUUAAAUCAUUCGUGGACCCUUGUUCAUUCUUGGACCUUCAAAAUUCCAUAAUGUUUGUUUGGAUCUUGUUAUUUACUUGGGGAACUUUUUGUGUUUUUAAAUGUUUCAAUUAGGUUCAAAUGGUUGAGUAGUGCUUGCUUUUGGGUCUUUAAUAGACGUUAUGCUUGGGGUUUGGAUGAUCAUGCCUUCUGCCUUGGUCUUUAAGUAGUUUUGACUUCAUUGAGUUGCAAUUGAGGGAAAGUUUGAUGUUUUGGUGGAUUCAAAUUGUUUAGUUUAUAUCUUAUCACUAAAUUGGUGCAUUAAUCUUUUGUUUUUGGUGAUUUUAGCCUAAGUUAGUCUUUUCUUGGGUGACUCUAGCCAAGUUGAGUUUGUUUACUUCCUUAGUAUCACCAACGGGGAGGUAUAAUCUCUUUUACCCCUUUUGUUUCUCUCCUAUGUGGACUAAUGUGCUAAUUGAAAUCUGCAUGUGUACUUGCUUUCCUAGCCUCUCCUUAUUUCCUUUCAGUUAUUUCAUUUACUUUUGAUUUUUAUUAAUGGGGUAUGUGUACACCUCUUGGCUUGUAAUAGAUAGGGCGUAGCAAGUAAUUUGGUCCAUUUUCCCUUUCCCUUUUGUUUUAGUUAGCAAAUGUAAUGGUUGCAUGCCUAUGUGUUAUAUGUUAAAUGCUUUAUUAGGAUCUUGCAUCUAGUCGAGCAUGAUAAGUGCUACAUGAUUUAGGUAAUUUGCAUGUCUACUCGCUUUUUGUAGUAUAGAUGAAUAGAAUGGAUGAAUGUACGUCACCACACUAGUCCAACGCUAGUUGUGGCUUCUUUUAUCGUUUCCACUAGUCCAACGCUAGUCGGAAUUCAUAGGAUGGGCUAGUCCAAUGCUAGACCCUUAGGGAUUUCCCCUCGUUAGUACAUGUUUGCAUGUUCAUUACAUGUCAUGCAUUUUUUUAGUUUUAUCAUUUUGCAUGCUCCUCGAUUCCCCUUUCCCCUCACUUUAGGUCUUACAUCUCAUGCUAGUUAGGGUACAUUUGCCUGAAGAGUCCCCUUUUGAUAAGGGAAACGAGCGAGUGUGGCUACUCGAUAGCCUUAGCACGCUAGUUUUGCUUUCUAAUCAAAGGGAAAAUCGAAGUCGAAAAGUUAGGAGUCAUUCCCAUACCCGACCUGAUGCAUUCCUUUAGGUUCAUUCAUUCUCAUUUAUCACUUACUCAUUUUUUUUCAAUUCACAUUUCCUCAUCACUUUUCCUUUCCUUAGUGUUCAGUUUGAUUUCUACUUCACAAAAUUGCACUUAAUUACACCUAUAUGCACUUAUCAUUAUAUUUCAUACACUUGCACACAAACACUUGGAUUUUUUAUACAAUUUCACACAUGCACCUUUUCAUACACUUGCACACAAACACUUGGAUUUUUCAUACAAUUUCACACGUUCACCUUUUUAUACACUUGCACACUUGCACUUUAGCCAUCAUUUGCAUUAAUCGACCUCUAUAAGAUUUUCCUUUAUUGGCCGCCACAAUUCAUGUGGUUGGGACCAAAAACCUUACAAGAGACAUCUUAGUAUCUAGGGUUUUGCAUUUCAUGUAGCACAUCCAAAUGUAAUAAAUUCUUUGGUUAAAACAAGAAAAUCUUUGAUUAAAUCACGCAACUAGCCUUGGCUAGGUCAAAGGGGUGCCUUGGAUUGUAUUCUUGCCUUCCCCUUUGUCAAAUGUGACUCCCGAACCUUUUUUCUUGGUUUACGUAGACUAGGAGUCGUUUAAAAAGGGUUUCUCACUACUCUUUCCUAUUUUUCUUUAAAAAUACAUUUUUAGGUGACUUGGUACACCUUAACUCAUUACCAAGUGGCGACUCCGUAUUUAGUUUUAAAAACCCUUUUUAAACUAUAAUUUUGGGUCAAAUCGUCGCAUUCUCAAAACCCCCAUUUAGACCCAUUUUUCUUUUAAAUCACGAUUCAUUUUCCAAUCACAAAAUACAUUUAUUAAACCAUUCAUUUAUUUAUUCAAAAAAUGGGGCGCGACAGAUUACCCAAUAAUAUCCAUUUAUUAAAUGGGUAUUAUUGGGUAACCCAUCAAACCCAAUUAAUCCAUUUAGAAUUCUCUUUCCUCCAAGUCUCUUCUUUUCCCCCACCUUUUUUUUUUCUUCAAAUUUUUCAUUUUGUCAUGAUGUUAACUACUUUUGUCUCAUUAUUAUUAUUAUUAUUAUUAUUAUUAUUAUUUGUUGGUUUUAUCUUAUUAUUUUAUUUCUCUUAAUUUGUUAACUUGCUCAUUUUUUAGCAUUACCAAUUUAUGAUAAAUUUUAGCCUAUUUUCUUAUCUUUAUCAAAUAAAAUUUUUAAUUUAUAUAUGAAAAAAAUGUUAGGGGUUCAAAAUUUUUGGAUUAAGUUUUUAUAUUAAUUUUUAUAGUACUUAGUUCAAAUUUUUAUAUUCUUAUUAUUCAAUUAUUAAAUAAUAGGUAAUUUUGUGACAUAGAGUAUAAAUGAAAAAAAAUUGGUAAUUAAGUUUAUUGAAUAUUAUAAGUAAAUAUUUAAAACUAAUGAUGGGUACAAAGAGUGGUAUAAAUUGAUAACUUAGUUUGCAAAAAUGAAUUUAAAUGAGUUUGCAAAAAAUUAAAAUAAAUGGGUUAUAAAUGGGUAAUUGGGUUACCCAAUUCAUUUUUUAACUUAUCCAUUUAUACCCAUCUAAUUAAAUGGGUAUAAAUGAGUUGACUCACUUAUAUCCAUUAUCCAUUUUACUUAACCCAAAUCCGCCCAAGUCACCCAUUUUGACGCCUCUAGAUGCAAGGAUUGGUGGCCACCACCCAUGCAUCGCCUCCCACCAAUUUGUCACAGUUAAAUGUGGCCUUACUUAAAAAAUUCAGGCAGGUGCAUAGUAUACCAAUCUGGUCUGGUGAUGGUUCAGUUCCCUCCGAAUUAUUUUAAAACUUUUUCAGGCUCCCCCCUCUCCAUAAUAUAAAAUGCUAUCGUAUUGACAAAAAAAAAAAAAACUUGGGUGCAAUGGUUUUGUCAAGAAGAAUUAACCUUUCCAUAUGGGAUCCAAAAUGGCAAUGGAAAAUGCGAAAUUCACAAUGCAAAGUUUCUUGUGGCACUAAUUAUUCUUUUCGUCGAGUAAAAUUAAAAUGGUACAAAAGUUGAUUAGUAGUAUUUAAAAUUGUAUCAACCAUCCAAAAAGACAGAGCAUCGUAGUUUUAACGCAUAGAAUAACUUAUUCCAUUUCAGUAGCUUACUAAAUACUGCUACUCCAUUACUCUUAUUGUUACGUUUCUCCGUUCUUCUUUGUCUCUUGCUAACUUCCAGCAACUGCCACAACUGUACCAGGUACCUUUCUCUUCUCCCCAUUUAAAUCUAUUGCUUUUUCUGAUUUUAAUCACUAGAAUUUUCUAUGCGGCUUAGACUGUUUGACUGCAUGAAAUCAGUGCUUUAGUUUGGAAUGGUACGUUAUUGUUUCUUGUUCGCAAGGCAUAAGAAAGUGACAUCUAGUUUUGGCUGAUCAUCCUCCUACUGCUAUAUGAUUGUUUUUAGCUUUGAUUAGAGGGCGGUUUGGAUUUUGUUUGUUAAUUUUCGGUACCGGCAAUUGCAUAUUUGCUGAAAUAAAUAUGUUUCAGAAGGAUAUUAUCGCCUGAUUAUAAGGUAAUAUAUUUGGGUUAAAUUUUGUUUUUGACUUUGUAGGAGCUUACCUCAAUGGGAAAUUGUUGUGCUCUCCUAAAAUCUAUUAUGGGUUUUGCAACCGAGGUAGAUAUAUACUGCUUUUUGUUUGCCCAUGAUUUUGAAAUGAGCAAGCCUAGUGCAUGGUGAUUUAAAAAGUUGAUCUGUUCUAGACAUGAUUUUCUAGGUUAAAUUUAUAGGCAGUUUAAGGAGCCAGCUAAAGAAUUAUGUUCUUAAUUCUGGACAAUUACAUGUUUGAUUUGCUCCAUCUGAAUACAAUCUCCACACAACAUCUAGGUAAUGGGUGAUUGGAUUGAAAGGUAAGCACUACGGGACUUGUGCAGAGCUUUAACUUGAUGAAUUGCCUCAGUAGAUAUGUUUUUGCUUGCUAAUGUUUAGUUUAUAUAGCUAGAAUCAGCAGGGAUCAUAUUCAGUCUGAUCAAUGAAAGGAUUUCAUAAUACAGGAGGAGCAUGAUGGAAGGUUGCCAAAACAGAAGAAGGUCAAAGUUGUUUUUGUCUUGGGUGAGCAUUUGGGGUUGAUUCUCUGCUCCUGUUCCUAACCUGUAUGAGCAUUUAAACUGGCAUAUUCCACUUAGUUAUAUUUAAAUCCACAGGAAGUGUCUUCUGAUCCAAUUCUUCAGUCAAAAUAGACUACUUCUGUUCUGAUUAAUUAAACUCAUGAAUUGUACACAGCUUUUUCAACAAAUCUUGAAGGUGGAUCUCUACUUAUUGUCUUUCCUCCAUAUAACGGAGGACACAAGUCCAAGAAACUCGAGAAAGUUGAGCAAAAGACAUGUUGACACAGAUUCAAAUCAAACAGAUAAACUGCCAAAUAAUUUCAAAAUCAUCUUGGAAAAUUGUCUCAUCAAGUUUGCCUUUCUAGUUGUAUGGACCACAUGGAACCAAAUUUGCUGCUUGUGACUGGAAGAAACACCUGCAAGGCUAUUAUAUCUUUUAUUAGCAAGAGGAGUGAAUGAUAAAAGAAGCUAGCAAUCUGCACUGCACAAAAUUCAUUUAUUUCAGAGAAUGGCUUCAUAGUGCCUUUAGUUCUUUUGGCUUUGGUUGAGUCAACGAGUUUUAGUUGCUCCGUCCUUUUCUGAAACCCUCUGUUUGGCAGAAAAGAAAGUAUUUUUUAUCAUUCCUUGAUGUGGCUGUGUUUCAUUUUCAUGGCACCUGAAGUUGUUAAUUAAAGACCUGUUUUUGUUUUUAGAUAUUUGGUUGCCAAGUUCGGUAACCAUAUGCAUCCACCUAUGUGUCAGCAUCCGAGUUUCUUUUGCCUUUUCUCUUCAAUUUUCCUUUGCAAUAACCCUAACAACCUCACAUGAAUAUGGUUUUCCUUUUGAUCAAUAAUUUUAGUGUUUCUGACCUUGUAAUUGUCAAUCUGUGACCUUUCUCAAUAUACUUGUAUCACUUCUUUUAUUCUUUCUUACGGUGGGAUGGCUUUGGAUGAUGCAUCUAACAGGUGGUCCAGGAAGUGGAAAAGGGACUGUGUGUGCCAAAAUUGUUGAACAAUUUGGUUAUAGCCACCUUAGUUCGGGUGAGCUUCUCAGGAAAGAAAUCAAAGCUGGCUCAGAGCAUGGGUAUAUAGUCUUGCUUUUCCCUUGAUUUAUUGGUCUUACAAUUUUAUUUCUCAGAAUAUUGAGCACGAAGUAUCAGUUGAACAAUGUUUGAUUCCAUGGUAUUGACUAUACAACAUUGGCAUGAUAUUAUGUAGUUGAAAUGGAUCUGAUGUAGAAUUUUUGUUAGAUUAUGGUUAUGGUUGGAAUAGUUCUUACUCUCUGACUUCAUACUGUCAUCAUGUCCUAAUUGAUUCUGCAGCACCAUGAUCCAGAACAUGAUGAAUGAGGGAAAACUUGUUCCAUCUGAUAUAACGGUUAGGCUUAUUCAAAAAGCUAUGCAAGAAACUGACAAUGACAAAUUUCUUCUAGAUGGCUUCCCCAGAGAUGAAGAGAAUGUUAGAACGUUUGAGAAACUUGUAAGUAUAUUUUUCAACUGAAAGUUUGAGUUUUGAACACAAUACAUCCUCCUUCCAAUUUAAACUUGUAUUCACCUAAUCUCAGUGUACUGGGCUUCUGGCAAAACCACCACUUUGUCAAAGCCACACUUAAAAGAUUGACUUUGAAUUUGACUCUUCUUUUCUGUAGACAAAGAUUGAACCAGAUUUCAUACUGUUUCUUGAUUGUCCAGAAGAGGAGAUGACAAAGCGCCUUCUAUCCAGAAACCAGGUUAGGUUUGUGUAAGCCAAGUUGACAUGCUCAUGGUUUCUGUUUAGUGUUUUUACAAAAUGUAGGUUUCUUCCUUAUUGUGGACAAAGAAAGGAUCGCAUUUGACUUGCACUCAAAAUCUUAGGGAAGAGAAGAUGAUAACAUUGAAACAAUAAAGAAACGCUUUCGAGUUUUUCAAGAGUCCACUCUGCCUCUGGUUAAUUAUUAUGCUUCAAAGGGGAAGGUACGGAAGGUAAGCAAUCUUUCAUCUUCACGAGUUUAUGAACAAAUGACUAUUUUGGUUCCUGCAGCAGCAACAACCAAGUUCUCAAUUGGCAGGUGGAUGCUGCAAGGCCUGUUGAAGCUGUUUUUGAAUCAGUCAAAACCAUUUUCUCCUCAGCAAAUGAACAGGUAAAAACUAGAUAUGGAAUUUAUUGAAGUGAAUUGGUGAUUAAAUGACUAUGACAUUGGAAAUAUCUAAUCUUUACCUGUUACGAGGUUGAUUUGGCCUUUUCUUUCUUUUUCCCCUGAAAACAAAGUAAAGAGAACUCUGCAUUGGAUUGUACAACUGUAGUUUUACUUGCCUUGAAAAUUAUGAGUUGACUGAACUAGUCAUGCUCUUAAAAGUUUUUAAUGCCACAUCUUCUCUGUUAUCCAACUCAGCUGAUGCAGACCAUGUUGUGCCUUGCAGGGUGCCUGAAGCUCAAGGAAUAAUAGCUUUUACUGGUUUGAUACUACAUGCACUCAGGUAGUAGUCUCUGAUUUACAUUAGACGUUCUCUCAGAUGGAACAUUCAUCCCUUCCUCUCCCAAAAUAAGUACAAAAACAAGAUGCUGUUUCUUAUUUUUGCAAAAAAGAAAAUGUUAGCAUUGGUUAAUUUUGCUUAAUUACAGGUUUCAUGUAUUGUCACUCUUGGAUGGCUACUUGAAAGUGGAUUGACAAGUGAGGAGUGAAGGACUGAAAAUGUACAAAACUUGCUGAAAGUUUCACAACUGUGGAUUGUGGAUGCCAUACUAAGCUUUUGAAAGCAUGUAUAUUGUGGAUAUAUGAAGAAUGCAUGAUCUGUUGGUUAUGAAAUUCUUAGUUCAAUAUUAUGUUUUUCAACUGAUAUAAGGAUCAGAAAUUUUGAAGUUAGCUUGGCAGGCCUCUUCAUAAAGGCUACUGAACAUUUGCAAGUAUUGACAUGAUAAGCAGCGUUUCAACAGUUAACCAACAGCUUCCUAUAUAUCAGGGCAUAUUUGUGACAUACCGUUUUUACUGUCUAUUGAGUUUCAAUUUUACUGCUUCUUGCUCUAUUUUAGCGAGUUAUGAAGAGAAUAACAAAUUUUCACAUGCUCUUUUUUACAUGACUUCAUGCUGCAUUCAAAAGGUUUAGAAUGUUUUGUAGUUUGCAAAAAGAUAGCACUUAUUUGUCAAAUUUCAUUUGCUUGCAUUACUAACAUAUUUUUUAACCACAUUUUUAUCUUACAUACAUUGUAUCAAAAGUCAAAAGUCAAAAUAGUGCUACAAUAUUUUUUUACAAAAAAUUAUCCCAAAUAAUCUACUUGAUUUUUCAUGCAUCAUCAUCGUACAUGAAUAGAAGGCCACAGAGUGGAAAAGUGAGAAUUAAAUCAUUUAUUUAAACAUGAUGAAUAUUAGGACACAAGUUAUGAUUUGUUCUUCAAGUUCAAGGUUGAAUUUUUUAAUGCAAUAUUUUCAAAAUUUUAAACUCACUAUUUUUUUUUCAAAAUUAAAUAGAAGUAUUAAGUAAAAAACAUGCGUUAGAUGAAAUAUUACACAGCUGGUUAGUGGUUACCACAUCCAAAAAAAAAAAAAAAGAGAAGAAAAAAUGCUGGUCACUUGCAAAAUUAAAGUGGAAUAAGUAAAAAUUGGAGAGACCACCUAAGGGAAAGACGUGAGAAGCAGAGACCGCUCUCCGCUUUGUCCAAGAUGCGAAAGCGUUCCCUUCCAUCAACUUAUGCAAACGGUAAAGGGUGGUAGAUCUCUUUCAGAGUUUCCACGUUUUCUGUGGUUUGAGGAGACGGCUUUUUGGUUUUGAGAUUUGACCAUGGAGUUCUUAGACGAAGAUGCCCGACCCAGAUUCGUCCUCCAAUCGAAGCCUACACCCGAACCCGCCCAAUCGUCCCAAGAUCCCCCAUCUCUCCGUAAACCCACUCUCUUCAUUUCUCUCACUGUCUCUGCUCUUUUCCUCGCUCUGUCAUUCCUCUACUUCACCUUAGAUCCCUUCCAAUCCCUCUUCAUAUGGUUCUCUCUUUCCCUCCUCGUCGGCCCAUUUGCUCCCCUCUCCCUCACCGCCGGCGACAUCCGGGUCGGCCUUGGCCCACCCCUACCCGAACCCACAAAGGAAACCGAAAUAUCUGAUGAGGUUAGCAAAAGAAGUGGUAAAAGGUCAGUAAAAUCUACAAGGAGACAAGACGGGUCAGGAAAUGGAUCCGGGUCAACCAGGCCGGAUUACGGCUGGGAAGCGGUGGAACAAAAUGGGUUUUCGGUGAAUCGAAAUGGGUUGGUUGCAAAAUUUGAGAAGAGCGAGGGGAAGGUUGUGAAUGAGGAGGUGCAGUGGGAUGCGGGGGAUGAUGAGUUGUUGAAGAAGUUGAUGGGGAAGCAUCCGGUAGGGAAGCCGGGACGUUGGGAGGCGGUAACUGAGGGUUUUAAGGGCAGGCAUAGCGUAGACAGUGUGAUAAAGAGAUCAAAGGAAUUGGGGGAAAAAAAAGUGAGUGACGAGGAUAGUUAUAAGAAGUUUUUGAAGGAUAGGAAGCCGGUGGAUAGGCGAAUCGAGGGGGGAAAUGAGAGUCAUGUUGGAGGAUUGCAGAGCGUUGAAGCGAAGGGAGACAGUAGUGGAUGGAGUGCUGGGGAGGAUUUAGCAUUGCUUAAUGCUCUAAAAGCCUUUCCUAAGGAUGUACCAAUGAGGUGGGAGAAGAUUGCAGCUGCAGUGCCGGGGAAAACGAAGCCAGCUUGUAUGAAAAGAGUGGCAGAAUUGAAGAAGGAUUUCAGGAGUUCUAAGGCUGGUUCUAGUGAGGCUUAAAUGAGAGAGUGGCAAUCGAAUUCUGACUGCCUUGAGAAGGUAAAAAUUUUGUAUUACAGAGUGAUACACUUUAAAAAUUUUAAGGAUAGAGAUUGAUGAAUACUCUUUCAACGCUGGAUUUGAGUCCAUUCUAGAAACCUGUAACCAAUACGUUUUAUCGUAGACGAGAGUGUUGAUAAGUUAUUAAUUUUUGGAUAUUCAUUGGAAUCUUGUUAUUUGUAUGAAUCAAUGUGUUAUCAAUUAAGUUACAUUUUACUGUUCACAAAUGAUCUUAGUGUCUGUCUUGCAACUUAUUUGUUUGAGUUGUUAAGAGGUCUUUGUCGACUGUUCAUGUGGUCUGUCCAAUGAUGGGUUCAAUGUUCGAUGCUGAAGUUGUGAUAUUCCUCUAGGAAAUGAUCCUGUGGCCAUUUCGUGGGAGCUUUUCAAACUGGCAUGCGACAUAGUAAUUCUGGGGAUAUGACCUAGUGUCUUGCUAUAAAAUGUAAAUGCAUCAUGCAAUAAGCUCAGGGCAUUAUUGUGCAGAUUGAAGGAUGAAAUGAACGAAACACUGGGGCAGGGGAGGGCUCUUAUAAUACUUCCCACUGAGAGGUUUAGGGUUCAAAUUUUGGGCAUGACAAUUAGAGGUGGGAAGGGUGAAGGGAUGGGUAAAAACAAAAAAAAAAAAAAGAAGAAGCAGAAGAAGGUGAACUAUGGGAUGGUUUGUAUGAGUGCUGAUCUUACUCAAUUUUAAGUGUGCUAAAACUACUCAAUUGAGUCCGUUGCAGGAUGCAUAAAUUGUUGUGAAUAUACUUAAUCUGUGUGGAAACUGUUUAUAUACUUUUUUUAAUUUCUUUUUUUUUCUAUGGAUAUAAUUCCUUGAAGGUACAAGCUAAGUGAUAGUAUGGAUACACAUAAUGUGAAUGAAUGUAACUGGAAGCUAGAAGCACCAAUAAAUGAAGCAAUGACACAAGAUGCUGUUAGAUAUUAGAUACCAAGAUACAGGUCAACGUACUCCCUUAAACAGUUACAUGCAAUAUCAUAGAAAGUAUUUAGAUGAAGCUUUAAAAUGCUGUUAGAUAAUAUAUUGAAUGGGGUUUUUUUUGAAGAAUGAUUUUUGAUAUGAAACUACAUUGAACUGUAACUGGACUCUCUCAGAUGUACAGAUACCUUGUAAGCUUAGUCUUAGUUGUGUGUGUCAGUUGUAGUGUAAGGAGCCAAUAACUAAUGCAUCAGAUGGAGUUAGUGGAUGUCUGUAUUCAGGAAUGAUUUUCAUAUGGAAAAUACAUUUUAUAGAGUAAGAUGAUAUGCAUUUAGUGACUCUUGUUGAGUUAAUUGCCAGUUUUGUGUUGGUGUAAGAGCCAUUUGUUAUUGAGUCAGAUAGAGUGCCAAUAACCAUCUUUCACUCUCCAAGUAAAUUGGAGAAAUUACAAGGUAUCUCCAGUAAAUACCCUGAGAUGACUGGUUUGGAUUGUCAAGUUCUUAUAUACCAAGAAAUAGUUUUCAAGAUCAGCAAGUUGGUAUGAAUCUUUAAGUGGCAGUUGAAAAACUUUUACUGAAAUAGAGCAUGCUGCUGGAGAAAACUUUAGACACAGACACAUAAAGGUUUGGAUCAUGGAGUCACUAGUUAAAAACCUUCUUAUCUGUUCUCUUCUUCGGUAAGUUGGAUUAGUGUUAUAAUUUUGGAGGUGUGAAUUUAUAGCAAUUCCAAUCUGAUCUCUCUGGAACAGUUCAUAAAAUUACUGGUUUGGAUUGUCAAGUUUUCCUUAUAUGCCCAGAAAAUUUUAUCAAGAUCAGCAAACUGGUACAAAACUUUUUAGUGGCCCUGAAGAAACUAUAACUAUAACUUUUGAGUGAAAACACACUGUAUACACACACGUAUGGGUAUUGGUCCAUGGAGUCAGUAUCCAAAAUCUGUUCUCUUAUCAGGUAAGUUAAUCAAGGUUUUGGAUUUUGGAGGUGCGAAUUUAACGAAAUCCCAAAUGAAGGAGAAUGAAAGUUAAAAACAAUCCCAGAUGCAUUUGAGAGCUUCAGAAUUUAGAAUAUCUAGAUAUGGGUGAUACUAUUGCCAGGGGGUUACCAAUGCAAAUCCCUUUUUAACUAGAUUAUUUAAAUCCUGAUAAUGCGUGUUACUCAUUAAAGUUCCAUCAGAAUUAAGAGGGCUUCUUUCCUUGCUAAAGUUACAAACCAUAAAUGUUUCAACAGUCCAUGAUUAUUUUCUUCUUUAUGUUGGGGCAACACAGAAAUUGAACUGGAUUUUUUGAAUCACGGAUUAGUUUUUAUUUUUGCAUUAAGUUGCUUCAAAUUCCUGUUGGUCCUCACUUACAAUAAUUAAUGUUCUUUCUGUUGAAAAUGAAAAUUUAUGCAUAUGAAAUAUCAUAUGCAACAAUACUUGGCACCAGGUAUAACCAAUGUCACGCUGACACAGAAUAACAGAGAUUAAUUGAGAAAGUGUUUUCUUUCCUUCGAAAGCUGUCAAAGAGGAUAACAGAAGAGUUGAAGUAAGAAUAAUAUUCUAGAUACGAAGAAUGAAGCCAUCUUUAUUUAUCUUAUUAUUGACACCAAAAGUGGUGCUUCAACCUUAAAUGAUGCUCAUUUGUAGUAUUGAAGAAAGAAUAUUUGGAUAGAGAAUUAUUUCAAAUAAUUAUUUGGAAUAAUUACUGUAGCACUUUUUGUGAUGUGAUAUAUGUAAGAUAAAAAUAUGAUUGGAAAUAUAAAAAGGUGGAUUGAGAAAUGUGUUUAUGAUGGAAGCGAAAAAUUUUUGAAGAAAAAUUUGCUAUCCAAACAACAUUUCAAGUUGAUUCUAUCUACCCUACGGAAUAAAUUAUUGCAGGAAGAAGGUAAAUCAUGAAUAAUUCUUGGCCAACAUUAACUGGAGGGGUUAUUAAUAACACACAGUUGGCCUGAUUUUCUGUAAGAAGAAAAAUUCUUGCUUUAUGGGUCCGUUUGUUUCGGGUGAAAAUAUUUUCCUAAUUUCCCGUGUUUGGUUACACAAAAGUUACUGAAAACAUUUUCCUAUGUAAAAUAUUUUCACCCAUCUUAUGGAAAACAACUUCCCUUCCAAAUUUACUGAAGUUGUUUUCCGAAAUGCAUGCAUUCCGCCUGUAGUAUGUUCCAAACUUACUGAAAACAUCUUGUAGUAUGUUCUUUUUUUUUUAGUGUAAACAGGAGGACUCGAACCCAAGACCUCUUCCUUACACUCCCUCCCCCGUACCACCCAACCCAACCCUCCCCUAGUAUAUUCAAAAUUAAAAAAAAAAAACCUCAUCCUGCUCAUCCUAUGCUAGUAAUUAAUAAUGUAUAAUAGGGACAUUCUUUUUUAGAGAAACUUUCAACAGUGAGAGUGCAAGAUAUAUGUCACAAUAUGCAUUGCAUGUGAUUGAUAUUUGACACUAAAUGGCCAGCAAUUUGUUUAUUGCUUGAGGAGAUAUUUUUUAUUCAUAUAUACAUUUCUCCAAGAUUUUUUAAAGUUAAACAAUGAGAUAAAUUUUCUUAUUUUGCAUGGAAAGAAGUAUGUAAUUAUAAUGUGUAGAAAGUAAAGAUAGAGAUAAAAGUGAAAAUAUUUCAAAAGUUAAACAAACACCAGAAAAAUGAAGUAAGAAAAUAUUUUCAAUAAACUAACCAAACACCUGAAAAUGAUGAAAGGGAAAUGAUUUUCAUGGAAAAUUACUUCCACGAAAAUAUUUUUCCAAAGAAAACAUUUUACUUCCAACCAAACAGACCCUAUAUGAAAUAGAUUCUCUCCCUUUAAUUCCAAUAUAUAUAUUUUUUUGGUUAGCCUGAUUCAUUGCAAACUUGUCUUGCGGCAAAUGUUGUAAGACGAAAUAACAAUGCUGAAAAGACACAAAAGACAAAUAACAAUGUUGCUACUGAAUUUGUUUCCUCAUACUUUUGUAGUACAAUAUAGAAAGGCAUGUUUCCUCAAUGAGAAUGUGUAUUUGAGAGCCUUUGAAGAUGAUAUAGCUAAGACUUAACGUAAGAAUAGAACGGACGAAGAAUAAAGCCAUGUUUGUUAAUCUCUUUUCUUACUCGUAAGGCUGAUUUAUUCCUAAAGUGGCGCUUCAGCUCUCACCUAAAGUGAUACUAAUUUCCGGAAGUGAAGAAAGAAUAAAUCAUUUCAACUUUCUUUCUACAAAUUCCAAACCAUGAGGAACAAGGAAGGUAGAAAAAGAGCAUUACUUCCAAUUGAAUCAGCCUGAUCGCCGGCCAAGGUCUUCCUUUCUAUAUAAUAAAUCCUUCUCAGGCACCCAAAAAAUAUAUGAAGUUAAAACCAUUCUUCUACUCAUAACCAUAUAAAAAGAAGCGAAAACCCUGCCUCCUUCUUCUUCUUCUUGAAAAAAAAAACUAUAAAAUGGCAGAAACUGUUGUCUCUUUUGUUUCAAAUCGUCUCGCAACCUUACUCCAAGAGGAGGGAAGCCUGUUGGGAGGGCUUCGACAAGAGGUCCAACUCAUCAAGGAUGAGUUGGGGCAUAUGAAAGCUUUCCUCAAAGUGGCUGAAGCAAAAGAAGAUGAUGAUCCCAGGUAUGGGUGGCAAACCAAUCCACCUAACUAAAUUUACUCGUACCCGUCUAUGAAUAGAUGGGUAUGGAUAUCUUAAAUUUUUUUAUAUGGGUAUAAAUGGGUUACCCAAUAAUACCCAUUUAUUAAAUGGGUAUUAUUGGGUAACUCAUCAAACUCAAUUAACCCAUUUAGAAUUCUCUUUUCCCACCCAUUUUUUUUCAGAUUUUUUAUUUUGUCAUGAUGUCAACUACUUUUGUUUCAUUAUUAUUAUUAUUUGUUGGUUUAUCUUAUUAUUUUAUUUUCUCUUAGUUUGUUAACUUACUCAUUUUUCAGCAUUACCAAUUUAUGAUAAGUUUUAGCCUCUUUUCUUAUCUUUCUAAAAUGAAAAUUUAAAUUUAUAUAUGAAAAAAAUGUUGGGGGUUCAAAAAUUUUGAAUUAAGUUUUUAUAGUACUUAGUUCAAAUUUUUAUAAAUCAUUUCAACUUUCUUUCUACAAAUUCCAAACCAUGAGGAACAAGGAAGGUAGAAAAAGAGCAUUACUUCCAAUUGAAUCAACCUGAUCGCCGGCCAAGGUCUUCCUUCCUAUAUAAUAAAUCCUUCUCAGGCACCCAAAAAAUGUAUGAAGUUAAAACCAUUCUUCUACUCAUAACCAUAUAAAAAGAAGCAAAAACCCUGCCUCCCCCUUCUACUUAAAAAAAUAUAUAUAACAAAAAACAAUACAAAUGGCAGAAACUGUUGUCUCUUUUGUUUCAAAUCGUCUCGCAACCUUACUCCAAUAGGAGGGAAGCCUAUUGGGAGGGCUUCGACAAGAGGUCCAACUCAUCAAGGAUGAGUUGGGGCAUAUGAAAGCUUUCCUCAAAGUGGCUGAAGCAAAAGAAGAUGAUGAUCCCAGGUAUGGGUGGCAAACCAAUCCACCUAACUAAAUUUACUCGUACCCGUCUAUGAAUAGAUGGGUAUGGGUAUUUUAAAUUUUUUUAUAUGAGUAUAAAUGGGUUACCCAAUAAUACCUAUUUAUUAAAUGGUAUUAUUGGGCAACCCAUUAAACCCAAUUAACUCAUUUAGAAUUCUCUUCUCCCAAGUCUCUUCUCUUCUCCCACCCAUUUUUUUUUUCCACAUUUUUCAUUUUGUCAUGAUGUUAACUACUUUUGUUUCAUUGUUAUUAAUAUUUGUUGGUUUAUCUUAUUAUUUUAUUUUCUCUUAGUUUGUUAACUUACUCAUUUUUUAGCAUUACCAAUUUAUGAUAAGUUUUAAUCUCUUUUCUUAUCUUUCUAAAAUGAAAUUUUAAAUUUAUAUAUGUUAGGGGUUCAAAAUUUUUGGAUUGCAUUUUUUAACACUUAGUAUAAAUUUUUAUAUUCUUAUUAUUCAAUUAUUAAAUAAUAUGUAAUUUUGCGACAUAGAGUAUCAAUGGAAAAAAAUUGGUAAUUAGACUUAUUAAGCAUUAUAAGUAAAUAUUUAAAACUAAUGAUGGGUACAAAGAGCGGUAAAAAUUGAUAACUUAGUUUGCAAAAAAGAAUUUAAAUGAGUUUACAAAAAGUUAAAAUAAAUGGGUUAUAAAUGGAUAUUUGGAUUAUCCAAUUCAUUUUUUGACUUACCCAUUUAUACCCAUCUAAUUAAAUGGGUAUAAACGGAUUGACUCACUUAUACCCAUUACCCAUUUUAUCCAAUCCAAACCCGUCCAAGUCACCCAUUUUGGCACCUCUAAUCUCAGGCUUCAAGAAUGGAUCAAGCAAGUGCGCGAAGCUGCUUAUGACAUUGAAGAUGUUCUCGAUGAAUUUGUACUUCGCUUUGCUGGCUACCGACAUCAUGGAUUCUGUGGCUCUCUUCAGAGAAUUCUCAAAGCCAUUAAGAGCUUGCCAGCUCGUCAUCAGGUUGCCAGUGAAAUUCAAAGCAUAAAGUCCAGGAUAAAAAAUAUUUCAGAAUUACGUCGGAGAUACCAAGAUGAAUUUGGCAUCGACCACCGUGUCACUGGAUCUUCAACCAUGACCAACUCACGGCGCUAUAGCAGGGAUGAUGCACUUCUAGUGGAGGAAGCAAAAUUGGUUGGCAUUGACCAGCCCAAACAACAUCUGAUUUCUAAGCUUCUCGAGGGACACGAUCACCAACUCAAAGUUAUUUCAGUGGUUGGUAUGGCUGGACUAGGGAAAACUACCCUAGUCAAAAAAAUCCAUGAAGAUCCAGAAGUAAGAAAGAAUUUCCCAGUUCGUGCCUGGGUAACCGUCUCCCAAACAUGCGACUUUCCAAAGCUCCUGAGAGACUUGAUUCGGCAGUUGAACAAGGACUUGGACAAAUCAGUCCCACAAUCGAUCGAGUCCAUGACUACCGCUGAGCUGAAAGAAUUUGUCAAAGAUUUUCUUCGACGAGCUGGAAGGUAUGCAAUUGUGUUUGAUGACGUGUGGGACGUGGAAUUUUGGAAUGAAAUCAAAUUUGCACUACCUGAGGGUAACUACGGCAAUCGUGUCAUGCUGACAACACGAAAUGCCGAUGUAGCCCCUGCCUCUUGCACAGAAUCUCAGGAUUAUGUCUACAAAAUGUUGCCACUAUCAAUUGAAGAUUCGUGGACCCUAUUUUGCAACAAGAUCUUUAAAGGAAAUCGUUGCCCCGCCCACCUGAUGGAUGUUGCGAAAGCUGUAUUGGACAAAUGUGACGGUUUGCCUUUGGCGAUUGUUGCGAUUGGUGGGCUCUUGGCUUCGAAGGACGUGAGCAGAAUAGAUGAAUGGGAGAAGAUUCAACACAGUCUUGGGGGUGAAUUAGAAGGCACCGGUAAGCUAGAGAGAGUUAAAAGAAUACUUUCUCUGAGUUACAACGAUCUGCCUUCGCAUCUCAAACCCUGUCUGUUGUAUUUAACCAUUUAUCCGGAGGAUUAUCUAAUAGGAUGCUAUGGACUAAUUAAUUUGUGGAUUUCUGAAAGGUUUGUAGAAUGGAGAGAAGGAAUGAGUAUUGAAGAUGUAGCCUAUGAUUAUCUCAGUGAACUCAUCAGUAGAAGCCUAAUUCAAGUGACUGAAGUGUUUUAUGAAGGAACGCCCCACACGUGUCGAAUCCAUGACCUAUUGAGAGAAGUUAUUCUCAUCAAGUCAAGGGAACAAAACAUGGUGACAGUUACUACUGGACAACCAAUGACGUGGCCAUCUGAGAAGGUACGCCGUCUAGCAAUCCAUAGUAGUAGUAACAGUAGCAACAUCCAAUACCACCAACAAAGACAAUUUUAUUCCUUUGAACACCUUCGAUCAUUCAUGACUGUCAGAUCCACCAACCCAUCACUGUCCAAAACUUUCCUAUCUGAAGUUCUAAGGAGCAGUAAGUUGCUAAAGGUUUUGGAUUUGCAAGGUGAAAAGAUAGAGGAAACACCAAAUGAGGUUUUCAACUUGUUGCAUCUCACGCAUCUGAGCCUAUAUGGUACAAAAGUGGCAAGAGUCCCGAGAGCUAUUGGGAAGCUUCAACAUUUGGAAUAUCUGAAUUUGGGGGACACUGGAGUUAGGGAAUUACCCGUGGAAAUCCUAAAGCUGCUAAAGUUUCGGCAUCUCAUAGUAUUCGAACGAGUUGAUCCCUCAGAUAGUGAUUUUGGAUUUCAUGGGUUUAAAGGUCCGUCCAAAUUGGGAGGGCUUCUCGCCCUUCAAACAUUAAACACCAUAGAUGCAAGUAGCGGGUCUGUAAUAGUUAAAGAGAUAGGAAAAUUGACCCAAUUAAGAGACUUAUAUAUUACACAGUUGAGAAGAGAAGAUGGAAAGGAGCUCUGCUCCUCCCUUGUCAACCUCACCAGCCUUCGGCUAUUAAGUGUUGCUUCAGUUGGAAAAGGUGAUGAUUCUGAGAUAAUUGAUCUAAAUCAUCAUCAACAUUCUCUUUCUUCUUCUUCUUCUUGUUCGUUUCUUCAAUCUCUUCGUGUGCUAAUUAUGCUUGGCCGCUUAGAAACGAUGCCAGUAUGGACAACUCAUCUUCAAAACUUGGUAAAAUUAAAUUUUACCUGGAGCGGGUUAAGGGCUGAGGAGGAUCCGCUUGAAUCCCUCCAACAUUUGCCCAAUUUGGGUGAAAUUACUUUCUGUGGAUCUUACCAGGGAGAAAGGUUGUGUUUCAAGGCUGGAGGGUUCCUAAAGCUGAAACGGUUGUGGUUAAGGAGAAUGGAAGGGUUGAGAUGGAUAACAGUGGAGGAGGGCGCGUGCCCAAAUCUCCGAAAACUAGUUCUGAAUCAACUUCCAUCACUAGAGGACUUACCUUCGGGAAUUCAGCACUUGAGCCAUCUUCAAGAGCUGGGUUUGUAUGAGAUGAGUUCUCAACUGAUGGAAAAGGUGGGGAAUCAGAAGGAAGACAGUGAAGAUUACAGAAGAAUGGCACACAUUCCUGAAAUUGUCAUUGGUUUCUAUACAAAUGAUGGUAGAUGGAGAAUCCGCCGGCUAUGGGGGAAGAAGAAGAAAACAUUCCUUGCCUAGCAUUAGUAGCAUCCCGUGGCUUUCCUUUCUCUUCUUCUUCUGUUUUUCUGAGAAGUUUCUGAUGUUUUCUAUCUUCUCCACUGCGUGUAGUAUGGUGCAUUGCAUCAUCAUCUUGUUCAUAUGCUGCAUUUUGUUAAUGUAUUUUUUUAACUGUUUUUCUUAAAUUUUAACUUCAGCAAAUGCAACAUUCUUACCUGCCUCCCCAAAUAAGCGCUUGUGAGAUCAUGAGCUCAACGAUAACUAAGUACAGGAAUCAAUCUGCCCGUAAGUCUACAUAAAGAUUGCAAUGCAUAUAGCAUUGUGCGAAAUUUGAGAAUGACAAUCUUCUUUUCACUCUUCAAUUUUAGAUAAUAAAAGGGUCGGAUCCCAAUUUUGAUUUAUUUCUAAAAGUUUCUCUAGAUUUGCCAAUUUGUUAGGAGCAUAAAAAACGGAUUUAAGAAGCUCAUCAACAUGAAUAAGAAAAAAAUACUAAACAAAUAAAAGGUGAUUUACAGCUGAUGCAGCUCACCAAAGAGUUGAAGGCCAAAAUUGUAAAUCCAUCCAUCAUGCCACAUGAAUAACUUGCCACAGAAUCAUGGUGUUUAUUCCUCAAUCCAAAAAUAUGUAGCUUUCUAGAUACAUUUUUCCAAACCAGAUAGAGAAAAAUAAAAAAUGCAUCAGAUUUUCCUUGGUUUAUUAUACAGGGAAAUAACAUUGAAAAUCUAAAUACUCUAUAUGAUGAUCUAAUAGCUAAAUAUCCUUCUAUCUCUGUCCUAAAAUAUGAUAGUAACAAAAAAUAAAAUGGCAUUCUCGUCAUUUUGCCCUCAUGAAAGCUAUCCUCUUUCUUGAUUUCUUCCUCAACGAACCCCUGCCCCCUCUCUCUCUGGAAGUUCUAUGUAGUUCUUUUUGUGAGCAACAUAGCUGAUUCACCACCAAUGGGUAUUUUUUUCAUGGUUUAAGGGAACCAAAAACGAUACCAACUCCAAACCCGAACCUGUUAAAACCCAAUCCGCUUCUAAAGUUCCCGGCACGAACGGAGCAGUGGAGGUCCGGCGGCCCGGCCCACCACUAGCUGAUAUCACCGUUUUCGAAUUCGGUUCCGUUGCCGCUUCUACCGAUAAGGUCACCCUCGCCGGCUUCUGCCCUGUUUCCGACGACCUCGAACCUCGCCGAUGGGAGAUUUUGCCGACUCAAGGCUCCGACCCCCCUCAAUUUCGCGUAGUCUUUUGACGGAAAAAUAAUUGGCAAAAAAGAAAGGGAGAAUUUUCAGCUUAGCUUUUGAGGAAAUGGUGAGGAGGAGUAAAAUCCCAAUCCAUUCCUGAGUAGAGUUUCUUCAGUUCAUACGGGCUUUUAACUAUACUAGAAAAACAAAAAAGCUUGUAUCUUUUUUGACCAUUCAAUUUUGGGAUACUUAUGAUGUAUAGUAUGGUCGUCUUUAUCGUUUUUGUGGUAAAAGACUCACACAAUGUAUAACGAAGUCAGUGAAUAAUGUCAUGUCAGUCCCGGAAAUGUGCAGAGUAAUGUGGCUUUUUUGAUUCUGUAAUCUAAAGAAAGGUGAGCCACCAGGCCUUUGGCCUUGCGGUUGCGGUCACCAUCGGUCUUGGCUGCGUGGGAGAUCAAGAUUCAACUCUUAUCUUUUUCUCAUUGUAUGUGGCGGAAGGUGAAUUAUAGUAAAUCCCAUGAAGUUUUGGUAGAGUUGCACUUUGACUCUCACAGUUUCAUGUUUUUUCAUCAAAUACUCUUGACCCAUGGAUCUUGACUCAUUUUUCAUUCUUCUAUUUGUUUUCUUUUCUGUUGUUCAUCCAUUUUAUUUCUAUCCCUUUUACUUUUUUUACCAUGCAUUUUCUCUGUAUCAAUUUUUUUUUCUCUAUACACAUUUUACUUUCUUUUUUUUCAUUUAUCCACCGCCUAAAGAAAAUAUUGAAAAUGAAAUUUUAGCAAUACUUUAAAAUCAUAUCUCCUUUAGUUACUUAGGUGUACCAGCCUAUGCAUUAGUUUAGCCUAUGCGUUCGUAUUUUGCUUAAAUAAGUGAGAGUAAUAAAAUUGUAAAAAUUGAAGAUAAAAGCAAAGAAAAAUUAAACUAAGUAAAUGCAUAACCUAAAUUUACCAAGAUGGGGGAGUUUCGUCAAGAACAAGAUGAAGGAAUAAUAAAAGAAAAAAUAUAAUGAAGUAAGGAAAUGAUUUAAUAUGUUUUAGGGGCUUCUAAUACAAGCAAGACCAUAAGAUGAAUAAUAUAAAAUUCAGCUACUAAUUCCCUUCAACUUAAUGUUUUUACACUAGGAUUGAUAAGUGAACUGAAUGAACUUCCAGUUCAUUAGAUAAUUGAUUCAAUUGAACAAGUCAAACUUUCAACUUUUUUAAACUUGUUUUGAUCUUAAGAAAACUAAAUAAUACUGAAUUUAAAAAUUUUAAUGUUAACUAGUACAAGCUCUUUAAAAUUGUGCUCUUUUGCUUCUUUUUUCUGAUUUUAUUUCUAAAUUAUUUUGAAAGUAUAAAUUAAUUAAAUAAUGUAGUUUCCUCUUUUGAUUCACUAUACUUUUUGGGAACUGAAAUUUCGUAAACUAAUACAUUUUAUUGUGUAAAUUACCAAGACAACCACGUGCUUCAUAAAAUGACAAACAAAACUUUCGUUUAUAAUUAGUGAUAUAAUAUUUUCAGAUUAAUCAUUACACUAAUAGCGUGUAUUAAUGAUUGAGAUACAUCAUCCAAACUUGAAUUUGAAUUCCACAUUUUGCAUAGGGUGCGUGUAUAAACCCUGUAGUUUAUAUAUAUAAAUAGUGUAGAAAAUAUUUAUCUAUAUAUUUUCAAAUAAAUCUUUUAUACAUUGUUAGUAUGAAAUGAGUUUAUACUAAUGGUUCAUUAUUGUGCGCCAAUUCAUUAAUGAAGGUGCAUAGCCUGUUGGGUAACUAAGUUUAGCUUCUUUCAUUAAUGAAAAAUAUAAGUUUUUUUUUCUUUUUUAUAAGUGGAAGGUCUUGAAAGAUAUAAGUGUAGCUUGAACGGUAGUGCAUAAAAGCCUUGGAACGACUGAUUUGAAUAGGAGAUUAUUUGGGAUAAUUUUUUGAAAAAAAAAAGCUAGAAUUCUUUUGAUGUGAUGUACGUAAGAUAAAAAAAAUGAUUCAAAAUAUGUUUAUGAUAUAAGCAAAUAAAUUUAUAAAUUAUUAAAUUACAUAGAAAUUAAUUAAAUAAAAUUUAAUACAAAUAAAAAAUCAACAGUUUAAUAAAAUUAGAGCUUUAUCUCAACUAAAACUAUGAAAACUCAUGAAAAUCAAUUUCGAGAAAAACCUAUAGGUCUAUCCAUCCAUUGCCUUUGUUUUCAUAGUUUUGCUUGCUAAAUGUAUUUACUUUUCCACUUUUUGCAAUCUAUUCCAACUUAUCUUGCAUGGUGAUUUGAAGUGAAAAUCACUUGUCCCAAUUCAAAUGUCAAAAUUCAUACCUUAGUAAAACUAAAAUAAUUUUCAUAAAAUAAUAAACGUGGUAUAACAUCUAUCUAAAGUUACUUGACACUGACAAUGUAUAUAAGAUUUACUCUAUAUUUUCUAGCAUUAUAUACAUUUGGAAGACUAAAUUAAAAAAUCGUCUCACUUUAUAUGACUAAACUGAAGUCUUUAAUUUAAAUUGAGAUUUUGUGUUAGGGACCAAAUUGAUACUUUCAAAGUAUUUCAAAGGACCAAAUAGAAACUUUUCCAAUUUGACUCAAUUAAAUUGAGAUUUUGGAGUUCAAAGGACCAAAUGAAAUUUACCAAUAGCCAAACUGGCUAGUUGACUUUCUUUUAUAGCCAUAUUAUAUGGGUCCCAAACUUUUAUUGCUAUAUAGGAUAGAGCACUGGAUUUCUAGUUUGUGAAUGCUCUAUUUAAUACCACAUAUGAAUCUGUGUUUGUUGUUUGUCUAGUUUUUAGUGGUUGAAAAUGCCUUUAUCAUAAAAAUGUUAGAAACUACUACACCAUUUUGUAGAAUUUACCUCAAUUUUGAAGUUUCUCUGUAAUUUACCUAUGUUUGACACUUUGAUUAGGAUAUGAUAAAGACCUUUACUGCACUUUUUUCCCUCUUUGUUUUUGGUUGGGUCUAGACAUGGGUGGUAUUGGCUUGAAAACAUGAGAAGGAAGGGGAAAGAAGUAAAUUUGUUGUGAUAAGAUUUAGAGGUGGUAAAAUGGGCGGGAUUCACAGGAUUUUCUUGGAUUUGAGAUGGAACCAAGUAAUAUGAAUUUGGGUCCAACCUUAUCCAUAUCUAUUUUAGGACUAACUAAUUUGGACGGGAUCACUUUAGAAUGGAUUUAGAUUGAUUCCGUCCAAUACCCAAUUUUAUUUUUUGUAUUUUUUUUCUUUAAUUCUUUUUUUUAUAUAACUUUAAUACUUUUAAUUUAUUAAAUUUCUUUUAGUCUUAUUGUGAAUUUAUAUUUUCUUGAAUUCUUUUUUCCCUCAAAUUUUCUUUUAUUUAUUUUCUAUGUAUAUAUAUAUAUUUUUUAAUCUUUAAUUUCCAAUGUUGCUAAAUUUAGUUGAGGAACAAAUAAGUCCUAUAAAAACUUAAAAGGACUUGUGUUAAUGAGGAUAAAUAAAUGGUGUUUAGAACUUUGAACCAUCAUUAAACUACCAAGGUUGGACAAAGUAUUUUCUGAUAGGAUUACAAAUUAAUGACUUCCAUAUUACUCCUAAUAUUCAUUUUGAUCAGUAUUCUACUAAAAAAAGAGCUCAAAACCAUUGAGUUUCCGUUCUUUUGAUAUUUUUCAAAAAGCACUCUAAAUUGAGAUUGGCGAUAGAAUUUUUACGAAAAAGGAAAAAAUAAAAAAAAAACUGAUUUCUAAGGGACGAAAGAGUUAAGAAAACUAGAUAGGGGUUUUAAGUAUAAUUACAAGGAAAAACUGAAGGAUCUAAUUGGAAGAAUAAAAGUGGUUCACUUGGGUCAUAUAACAAUUGAUUGGGUAAAUUUUUGGUGAGAUACUUAGGCCCCAAUGGGUACCCAAGAAUUUCCCAAACUUUCCCAUCAAUUAAUGGGUGUAAAUGGGAUUAGUCCCAUUUUAACCCAAUAUUAAAAUUAGAAUACCAUCCCGUCCAAAACCCCUUUGGGUAUGGAUAGUCCAUUAGAGCUUGAGACAUAUUGCUACCUCUAGAUAGAUUGGUUAUUGCGUUGUUGGAUGAUAGUUGCACAUUUUCUUCUAUUUCCUGCGAUUGGCUGUAGAAUUAUUAUGGAAAAUUAUAAAUUAGUGGAAAGGGCGCCCUUGGAGCCCUAAUCAAAAAAGGGUUCAGUUUUUUAGGCCAGUAUGUGUACAUGAAAAUGCGUUUUCACACAUGAAGGCCUUCUAUAGAUGUGCUUUGUGUUUGUGUCUGUAAUUGCAUUGGCAGUCUCCCGUCAGAAGGGGUUUUUGAACCAAUAUCACAUUACGCAUAUAAUGUUGUUUGCCGCGAUUAACUAAGGUGUUUGGGCUUGGGUUGGGUGGUGGGAUUUGAAAUUGAAAUGUUUUGAGUAUUUGAGGGUGGGGUCAGAGGUUUCUUUCCGUAACGUUUUAGAAUAGCUUUGGGCUUAGUUGGAAGAUUUCUCCACGGCCUAUAUUCCGGUGGAGCGGUUGGAACAGGAAUGGUGUGAAGUAGUUAGGGGCAAUGAACAAGGUCAUGAUGAUCCAACCUUUCACAGUUUAGGUUGGAAGUAGCUGUCUAGCAGGAUGGAAUGGGGCAAAGUUGAGUGUAAAUCAAGUUCUGUUCUAUGCAGCGUCCGGCAAAACAACCCCUCUCUGUGUUGGUUGUCUUGCAUCAAUCUUUAACAAAUUCAAGCAGGAGACCCGGGAGUCGGAUCCAAAUUCCUGCGAUUGUUGGUUUGGCCUCCAAAACGUUGAAGUAUGGACUCCCUUUCUCAUUGUCUCUCCGUUGAUGACAUCAACCUCUUUUCCAAAACUGGUCUAACUUCUCUUAAAACCAUCAAAUUUGUGUUGGAUUCUUUCUGUAAUGUCUCUGGUUUGAAGAAUUGGACCAUGUCUUCCGGACUUGCCCUCUAGCCCAAACUUUUUGGAUAAAGCUGAAACCACCCUGGAAUGUUCAACACCAGGAUCUAGAAUUCAAAGUAUGGCACAAAAGUUGCUGCACAUCUUCUGUACCCUCACCUUAUCACUGCAUUUCUCGGGGAAUCAUUCUUUCUUUUGCCUGCUGGACCAUUUGGACAUGUCGAAAUAAAACAAUCUUCGAACCCCAUAAGGAAGUGUAUGUGUUCGUGUUUGUGUUUUGUGUAUGUAACUAUGUCUAUGUCAAUAAGGAUGAGCUUAUAUGAAUUGUGUACCAUGUAGAGCAUAUAUCAAGUCAUGUUGAGGUCAUGAGCUCAACACUUUCAGCUAAUAAGUGGAGGAAUCAAUUUGCCUACCGCCUAUAUAUUGAUUGCAAUGCAUAUAGCAUAGUGCCAAAUUUGAGAAUGACAAUCUUCAUUUCACUCUUCAAUUUUAGAUAACAAAAGGUAAGAUCCCAAUUUUGAUUUAUUUCUAAAAGUUUCUCUAGAUUUGCCAAUUUUCUAGGAGCACAAAAUGGGAUUUAAGAAGCUCAUCAACUUCUUGCUGUGUGUCUAAGAAAAAAACUAAACAAAUAAAUCCGUCAUACAUGAAUAACUAGCCACAGAAUCACAGCGUUUAUCCCUCAAUCGAAAACUAUGUAGCUUCCUAAAAUUGCAUCAGAUUUUCCUGGGUUUCUUAUAUAGUGAAAUAAUAUUGAAAGUCUAAAUAUUGUGAUGAUCUUAGAGUUAAAUAUCAUUUUAUUUCUGUCCCAAAGUAUAAUACGUAGUCACAAAAUUAAAUGGCAUUCUCGUCAUUUUGUCCUCCUCAAAAGCUAUCCUCUUUCUUGAUUACUUCCUCAAAACCCGGAAGAGCUUGCUGUUGGAGAAAGCUUUAGAUACAAACAUAUAUAUUGGUUUGGAUCAUUCAGUCACUAGUUAAAAAACUUCUUAUCUGUUCUUUUAUCAGGCAAGUUAGGUAAGCUGAAUAGUGUUAUGAUUUUGGUGGUGUGAAUUUAUAGAAAUUCCAAAUAGAUUUUCAACUUGCUCUCUCUAGAAAAGACUAUAAAAUUACUGGUUUGGAUUGUUGAGUUUUCCUUAUAUAUACAAAAGAUUUUAUCAAGAUCUGCAAGUUAGGACAAAUCUUUAAGUGGCACGGAAGAAACUAUAGCUGAAAUGGGCAUGCUCUUAGUGAAAACACUAUAUACAAACAUAUAUACGUACUAGUAAUAGUUCACUUACUUUUUGCACGUGAUUAUAUUAACCAAAAUAUAACAUCUCUUACAUAUAAAUUUUUUGUGAAAUUUGAUUGUGUACUAGAUAAAAUGAUAUUUUAUAAUUUUAAUUUCUUUAACCAGUUAUUGUUACAAAAAGUAUCUAAAUAGGAACUCCUUGAUCUAUUGAUUUUUGAAUUUAUUUUUCAAAAUUUUUAAAUUUAUUUUGAGCUUUUUGUAUAUUAUGGAUUUAGCUUUGAUAAACAAUUCUGAAUACGGUUGUGUUUCACCAAAGUUGUUGUACACUCAUAAUAUUUUUACCAUUAAAUUAUAAUAUUAUUUUCUCAAUGUCAUACAAAAGAUUAGGAAUGGCAAUGAUUCCCUUUCCCCCCCCCCCCCCACCCCCAAUCCCCCAAGGUUGCCUAAGCAUACCUUACUCCUGCCCUGCCCCCUAUCCCCUGCUUCCUCCACUCCACCCCUACCUCGUCCCGCUUUCCUUGCAGCGUAGGUGCCUGUGAGGGAAAUAAGUUUAUAUAUAAUUAGUAAAAAAAAAUGUAACUAGUAUUUGGCAUAAAUGUAUAAUUAGUAAUUUAAUAAAAUGUAUUAGUACAACUAAUCAAUAGUUUAUAUUAGUAUAAAUAUAUAAUUAUUAGUAUAACUAAGAAUAUUAAUUAUAUUACAUAUGCAUAAUUUGAUAUUUACAACUAAUAAUAUUAUGUGUGUGUGUGUGUGUGUGUGUUUUAAGGCAGGUAACAGGUCAGGGGAUGGAGGAUGAAAAUUACCCCUCGUCCCAUGAGUUUCCUAGUACCCACCCCAAUUACCAUCCCUAUAAAAGAUGUUGUUAAACAGAAAAUAGAUGUAUACAUGUCAAGUGUGACUUUAGAAAAUAGAAUUCAAAAUUAUUAGGGUAAAUACCUUAUUACUCCCUGUGAUUUUACAAAAUGCCAGAUGAUCCCCCUAAGAUUUUAAAAUAGCCACACAACCCCUAUGUAAUUUUAUGUAAAUUGAAAAAUGGAUGGAAUACAUAAUCAUUUACAGCAUUUGUACCAAAUUUGCUUUAAAACGUGUGUGAUAAAAUUUUAAUAUUUAUAUAACCUCCUUAUGAUUUGUAUAAAUAUCCAUUUUAUUCCCUGUGAUUUUUACAUUUAUUCAUAUAAUCUCCCUAUAUUUUUGAACAAAGUGAUUAUCCCGUCAAUUAAUUUAGCAUUUAAAUAAGGGCACUAUUAGUAUUUCAACUAACGACGUUACAUAGGUAUUUUCUGUCAAAUUUCCACUUUACAUAAAACCACAGGGGGAUGAAGUGGAUUUUUUGAAACGUUGAGGGGGCCAUUUGGCAACAGAUGAAACCACAAGGGUUGCAAGUAAUUUACCCUAAUUAUUAGCAAAGUAAAGACUUAAACCAUAAAAUCAAUUUUUAAAAGGGUAUUAAAGUAAAUAAAUUGCCUUGUUAGAUUUGGUCAUUCUAAUUAUUUUUACCACACUCACCCUUUUUUUACCCUUUGGAAAGCUUGCUCGCUAACCAAUCAGAGUCUAAACUUGCCUUUUUUUUUACUUAAAAAUAAAAUCCAUGGCUAAGUUUCUAAUGAAAUCAAUAAAUUUUAACAAAUGAAAAAUUUGUAUAAACAUUUUGAAUGUUAUUUGCCAUAGCAUUUUGAACGUUAUUUUUUCCUUGUUAAGACAAAUGAAAUGCAAUUGUACAAUUAGAAUGAAUAAUUAUUUAAGAAUAAAAUAUAUGAACUGUGCUAAUAUCUAAUUUCGCAUGAACAUUUACUUAUUCUACGUUAUAUCUUUCUAGUUGAACUUUUAUUUCUUUUUGUGAAUUUGAAUUGAAUAAUGUGAGGCGUAUUAUUGAAUUUGGAAUAUUUACAUUUUUUAAGUGUUAUUGAGGUUUGAGGUUAAUAAAGAAUGUAAAUGAUCUAUAUUGCUUAAUUAUCUUAGAUUGUCUACUUAGUUGUCAAUUGACAUUCAAUUGAUAGAAAUAGUGGGGUUCUUUUAUUUGUUCUUUUCUCUUAGUAUUUCUUCAUACCGAUAAAAAGCACAUAAUUAUAUAUCUGUCACACGAUAUUCAUAUCAAGAUUCUUCAAAUGAAUAUGGACUCUUUUCUUCUUAUAUAUUUCUCUUUUGUUCCAAGAGCACCUAUUUUUUUAUACUAAUAUUUUUUACGAUAUCAAAAUUGUGGCUAAUGCAAUUGGUCACAUAAUUUCAAGUAAGAAAUUGUUUUGGAUAAGAAACUUAGACACAUAUAAGAAUUGAAGAUGGAGUACAAGGGUCGCUAAAUAGUUUUAAUAGGGAGUUUUUUCAUUUUAAUUACCAUUAUUAUUGAGGUUUAAUCAUUUGAAAUGUUUCGUAUUUUUAAUUACUACCAAAAUUAAAAUGUAAUAACUCUAAUUGAAAGAUGAGGGUGAAAUGGGUACAAUAAAAACUAAGAUAAAAAAGUGCUGAUAACAUAUGAUGCCAAUAGUCAUCGAACUUUUAAUAUAGUAAUAGAUAAUAGAUUGGUCCAUGGAGUCACUAUCCAAAAUCUGCUCUCUUAUCAGGUAAGUUGAUUAAGGUUUUGGAUUUUGGAGGUGCGAAUUUAACGAAAUCCCAAAUGAAGGAGAACAAAUAGUUAAAAACAAUCCCAAAUGCAUUUGCGAGCUUCGGAAUUUUAGAAUAUCUAGAUAUGGGUGAUACUAUUGCCAGGGGGUCACCAAUGCAAAUCCCUUUUUAACUAGAUUAUUUAAAUCCUGAUAAUGGGUGUUACUCAUUAAAGUUCCAUCAGAAUUAAGAGGGCUUCUUUCCUUGCUAAAGUUACAAACCAUAAUUGUUUCAACUGUCCAUGAUUAUUUUCUUCUUUAUGUUGGGGCAACACAGAAAUUGAACUGGAUUUUUUGAAUCACGGAUUAGUUUUAUUUUUGAAUUAAGUUGCUUCAAAUUCCUGUUGGUCCUCACUUACAAUAAUGUUCUUUCUGGUGAAAAUGAAAAUUUAUGCGUAUGAAAUAUCAUAUGUAACAAUACUUGGCACCAGGUAUAAGCAAUGUCACGCUGACACAGAAUAACAGAGAUUAAUUGAGAAAGUGUAUUCUUUCCUUCGAAAGCAGUCAAAGAGGAUAACAGAAGAGUUGAAGUAAGAAUAUUCUGGAUACGAAGAAUGAAGCCAUCUUUAUUUAUCUUAUUAUUGACACCAAAAGUGGUGCUUCAACCUUAAAUGAUACUAAUUUGCAGAAUUGAAGAAAGAAUAUAACAUUUCAAGUUGAUUCCAUCUACCCUACGGAAUAAAUUAUUGCAAGAAGAAGGUAAAUUCUUGGCCAACAUUUACUGGAGGAGUUAUUAAUUACACAAAGUUAGCCUGAUUUUCUGUAAGAAGAAAAAUUCUUGAUUUGUAUGAAGUAGAUUCUCUCCCUUUAAUUCCAAUAUAUAUAUAUUUUUGGUUAGCCUGAUUCAUUGCAAACUUGUCUUGCGGCAAAUGUUGUAAGACGAAAUAACAAUGCUGAAAAGACACAAAAGACAAAUAACAAUGUUGCUACUGAAUUUGUUUCCUCAUACUUUUGUAGUACAAUAUAGAAAGGCAUGUUUCCUCAAUGAGAAUGUGUAUUUGAGAGCCUUUGAAGAUGAUAUAGCUAAGACUUAACGUAAGAAUAGAACGGACGAAGAAUAAAGCCAUGUUUGUUAAUCUCUAGUAAAUUGGAGAAAUUACAAGGUAUCUCCAGUAAAUACCCUGAGAUGACUGGUUUGGAUUGUCAAGUUCUUAUAUACCAAGAAAUAGUUUUCAAGAUCAGCAAGUUGGUAUGAAUCUUUAAGUGGCAGUUGAAAAACUUUUACUGAAAUAGAGCAUGCUGCUGGAGAAAACUUUAGACACAGACACAUAAAGGUUUGGAUCAUGGAGUCACUAGUUAAAAACCUUCUUAUCUGUUCUCUUCUUCGGUAAGUUGGAUUAGUGUUAUAAUUUUGGAGGUGUGAAUUUAUAGCAAUUCCAAUCUGAUCUCUCUGGAACAGUUCAUAAAAUUACUGGUUUGGAUUGUCAAGUUUUCCUUAUAUGCCCAGAAAAUUUUAUCAAGAUCAGCAAACUGGUACAAAACUUUUUAGUGGCCCUGAAGAAACUAUAACUAUAACUUUUGAGUGAAAACACACUGUAUACACACACGUAUGGGUAUUGGUCCAUGGAGUCAGUAUCCAAAAUCUGUUCUCUUAUCAGGUAAGUUAAUCAAGGUUUUGGAUUUUGGAGGUGCGAAUUUAACGAAAUCCCAAAUGAAGGAGAAUGAAAGUUAAAAACAAUCCCAGAUGCAUUUGAGAGCUUCAGAAUUUAGAAUAUCUAGAUAUGGGUGAUACUAUUGCCAGGGGGUUACCAAUGCAAAUCCCUUUUUAACUAGAUUAUUUAAAUCCUGAUAAUGCGUGUUACUCAUUAAAGUUCCAUCAGAAUUAAGAGGGCUUCUUUCCUUGCUAAAGUUACAAACCAUAAAUGUUUCAACAGUCCAUGAUUAUUUUCUUCUUUAUGUUGGGGCAACACAGAAAUUGAACUGGAUUUUUUGAAUCACGGAUUAGUUUUUAUUUUUGCAUUAAGUUGCUUCAAAUUCCUGUUGGUCCUCACUUACAAUAAUUAAUGUUCUUUCUGUUGAAAAUGAAAAUUUAUGCAUAUGAAAUAUCAUAUGCAACAAUACUUGGCACCAGGUAUAACCAAUGUCACGCUGACACAGAAUAACAGAGAUUAAUUGAGAAAGUGUUUUCUUUCCUUCGAAAGCUGUCAAAGAGGAUAACAGAAGAGUUGAAGUAAGAAUAAUAUUCUAGAUACGAAGAAUGAAGCCAUCUUUAUUUAUCUUAUUAUUGACACCAAAAGUGGUGCUUCAACCUUAAAUGAUGCUCAUUUGUAGUAUUGAAGAAAGAAUAUUUGGAUAGAGAAUUAUUUCAAAUAAUUAUUUGGAAUAAUUACUGUAGCACUUUUUGUGAUGUGAUAUAUGUAAGAUAAAAAUAUGAUUGGAAAUAUAAAAAGGUGGAUUGAGAAAUGUGUUUAUGAUGGAAGCGAAAAAUUUUUGAAGAAAAAUUUGCUAUCCAAACAACAUUUCAAGUUGAUUCUAUCUACCCUACGGAAUAAAUUAUUGCAGGAAGAAGGUAAAUCAUGAAUAAUUCUUGGCCAACAUUAACUGGAGGGGUUAUUAAUAACACACAGUUGGCCUGAUUUUCUGUAAGAAGAAAAAUUCUUGCUUUAUGGGUCCGUUUGUUUCGGGUGAAAAUAUUUUCCUAAUUUCCCGUGUUUGGUUACACAAAAGUUACUGAAAACAUUUUCCUAUGUAAAAUAUUUUCACCCAUCUUAUGGAAAACAACUUCCCUUCCAAAUUUACUGAAGUUGUUUUCCGAAAUGCAUGCAUUCCGCCUGUAGUAUGUUCCAAACUUACUGAAAACAUCUUGUAGUAUGUUCUUUUUUUUUUAGUGUAAACAGGAGGACUCGAACCCAAGACCUCUUCCUUACACUCCCUCCCCCGUACCACCCAACCCAACCCUCCCCUAGUAUAUUCAAAAUUAAAAAAAAAAAACCUCAUCCUGCUCAUCCUAUGCUAGUAAUUAAUAAUGUAUAAUAGGGACAUUCUUUUUUAGAGAAACUUUCAACAGUGAGAGUGCAAGAUAUAUGUCACAAUAUGCAUUGCAUGUGAUUGAUAUUUGACACUAAAUGGCCAGCAAUUUGUUUAUUGCUUGAGGAGAUAUUUUUUAUUCAUAUAUACAUUUCUCCAAGAUUUUUUAAAGUUAAACAAUGAGAUAAAUUUUCUUAUUUUGCAUGGAAAGAAGUAUGUAAUUAUAAUGUGUAGAAAGUAAAGAUAGAGAUAAAAGUGAAAAUAUUUCAAAAGUUAAACAAACACCAGAAAAAUGAAGUAAGAAAAUAUUUUCAAUAAACUAACCAAACACCUGAAAAUGAUGAAAGGGAAAUGAUUUUCAUGGAAAAUUACUUCCACGAAAAUAUUUUUCCAAAGAAAACAUUUUACUUCCAACCAAACAGACCCUAUAUGAAAUAGAUUCUCUCCCUUUAAUUCCAAUAUAUAUAUUUUUUUGGUUAGCCUGAUUCAUUGCAAACUUGUCUUGCGGCAAAUGUUGUAAGACGAAAUAACAAUGCUGAAAAGACACAAAAGACAAAUAACAAUGUUGCUACUGAAUUUGUUUCCUCAUACUUUUGUAGUACAAUAUAGAAAGGCAUGUUUCCUCAAUGAGAAUGUGUAUUUGAGAGCCUUUGAAGAUGAUAUAGCUAAGACUUAACGUAAGAAUAGAAUGGACGAAGAAUAAAGGCUGAUUUGUUCAUCUCUUUUCUUACUCGUAAGGCUGAUUUAUUCCUAAAGUGGCGCUUCAGCUCUCACCUAAAGUGAUACUAAUUUCCGGAAGUGAAGAAAGAAUAAAUCAUUUCAACUUUCUUUCUACAAAUUCCAAACCAUGAGGAACAAGGAAGGUAGAAAAAGAGCAUUACUUCCAAUUGAAUCAACCUGAUCGCCGGCCAAGGUCUUCCUUUCUAUAUAAUAAAUCCUUCUCAGGCACCAAAAAAUAUAUGAAGUUAAAACCAUUCUUCUACUCAUAACCAUAUAAAAAGAAGCAAAACCCUGCCUCCUCCUUCUUUUUCUUGAAAAAAAAAGUAAAAAAAAAAAUUAUAAAAUGGCAGAAACUGUUGUCCCUUUAGUUUCAAAUCGUCUCGCAACCUUACUCCGAGAGGAGGGAAGCCUGUUGGGAGGGCUUCGAGAAGAGGUCCAAUUCAUCAUGGAUGAGUUGGGGCAGAUGAGAGCUUUCCUCAAAGUGGCUGAACCAAAAGAAGAUGAUGAGCCCAGGUAUAGGUGGCAAACCAAUUCACUUAAUUAAAUUUACUCAUAUUCGUCUAUGAAUAAUGGGUACGGGUAUUUUAAAUUUUUUUAUAUUAUUAGAUAACCCAUUAAAUUCAAUUAAUUCAUUUAGAAUUCUCUUUUCCCACCCAUUUUUUUUUUUUAGAUUUUUCAUUUUGUCACGAUGUUAACUAUUUUUGUUUCAUUAUUAUUAUUAUUUGUUGGUUUAUCUUAUUAUUUUAUUUUCUCUUAGUUUGUUUACUUACUCAUUUUUCAGCAUUACUAAUUUAUGAUAAGUUUUAGCUUCUUUUCUUAUCUUACUACAAUGAAAAUUUAAAUUUACAUAUGAAAAAAAUGUUAGGGGUUCAAAAUUUUUGGAUUAAGUUUUUAUAUUAAUUUUUAUAGUAUUUAGUUCAAAUUUUUAUAUUCUUAUUAUUCAAUUAUUAAAUAAUAUGUAAUUUUGCGACAUAGAGUGUCAAUGGAAAAAAAAUUGGUAAUUAGACUUAUUGAGCAUUAUAAGUAAAUAUUUAAAACUAAUGAUGGGUAUAAAGAGCGGUAUAAAUUGAUAACUUAUUUUGCAAAAAAGAAUUUUAAUGAGUUUCCAAAAAGUUAAAAUAAAUGGGUUAUAAAUGGAUAAUUGGGUUAUCCAAUUCAUUUCUUGACUUACCCAUUUAUACAUAUCUAAUAAAAUGGGUAUAAAUGGAUUGACUCACUUAUACCCAUUACCCAUUUUACCCUAUCUAAAUCCGCUCAAGUCACUCAUUUUGACACCUCUAAUCCCAGGCUCGAAGAAUGGAUCAAGCAAGUGCGCAAAGCUGCUUAUGACAUUGAAGAUGUUCUCGAUGAAUUUGUACUUCGCUUUGCUGGCCACAGACAUCAUGGAUUCUGUGGCUCCCUGCAGAGAAUUCUCAAAGCCAUUAAGAGCUUGCCAGCUCGUCAUCAGGUUGCCAGUGAAAUUCAAAGCAUCAAGUCCAGGAUAAAAAAUAUUUCAGAACGAUGUCAGAGAUACCAAGUUGAAUUUGGCAUCGAUCACCGUGUCACUGGAUCUUCAACCAUGAAAGGCUCGCGGCUCUAUAGCAGGGAUGAUGCACUUCUAGUGGAGGAAGCAAAAUUGGUUGGCAUUGACCAGCCCAAACAACAUCUGAUUUCUAUGCUUCUCGAGGGGCACGAUUACCAACUCAAAGUUAUUUCAGUGGUUGGUAUGGCUGGACUAGGGAAAACUACCCUAGUCAAAAAGGUCCAUGAAGAUCCAAAAGUUAGAAAGAAUUUUCCAGUUCGUGCAUGGGUAACCGUCUCUCAAACAUGCGACUUUCCAAAGCUCCUGAGAGACUUGAUUCGGAAGUUGCACAAGGACUUGGACAAAUCAGUCCCACAAUCGAUCGAGUCCAUGACUACCGCUGAGCUGAAAGAAAUUGUCAAAGAUUUUCUUCAACAAGCUGGAAGGUAUGCAAUUGUGUUUGAUGACGUGUGGGACGUGGAAUUUUGGAAUAAAAUCAAAUUUGCACUGCCUGAGGGUAACUACGGCAAUCGUGUCAUGCUAACAACACGAAAUGCCGAUGUAGCCUCUACCUCUUGUACAGAAUCUCAGGAUUAUGUCUACAGAAUGAAGCCACUAUCAAAUGAAGAUUCGUGGACCCUAUUUUGUAACAAGAUCUUUAAAGGAAAUCGUUGCCCCACCCACCUGAUGAAUGUUGCAAAAGCUGUAUUGGAUAAAUGUGACGGUUUGCCUUUGGCGAUUCUUGCGAUCGGUGGGCUCUUGGCUUCGAAGGACGUGAGCAGAAUAGAUGAAUGGGAGAUGAUUCAACACAAUCUUGGGGGUAAGCUAGAGAGAGUUAAAAGAAUACUUUCUCUGAGUUACAACGAUCUGCCUUCGCAUCUCAAACCCUGUCUGUUGUAUUUAAGCAUUUAUCCGGAGGAUCAUCUAAUAGCAUGCCAGAGGCUGAUUCAAUUAUGGAUUGCUGAAAGAUUUGUAGAAUGGAGAGAAGGAAUGAGUAUUGAAGAUGUAGCCUGGGGCUAUCUCAGUGAACUCAUCAGUAGAAGCCUAAUUCAAGUAACUGAAGUGUUUUAUGAAGGAUCACCCAACACGUGUCGAAUCCAUGACUUAAUGAGAGAAGUUAUUCUCAUCAAGUCAAGGGAACAAAACAUGGUCACAGUUACUACUGGACAACCAAUGACGUGGCCAUCUGAGAAGGUACGCCGUCUAGCAAUCCAUAGUAGUUGCAACAGCAGCAUCAUCCAAUACCACCAACAAAGACAAUUUUAUUCUUUUGAACACCUUCGAUCAUUCAUCGCAGUUAGUUCCACCAACCCAUUGCUAUCCAAAACUUUCCUAUCUGAAGUUCUAAGGAGUAGUAAGUUGCUAAAGGUUUUGGAAUUGCGAGGUGAAGAGAUAGAGGAAACACCAAAUGAGGUUUUCGACUUGUUGCAUCUCACGUUUCUGAGCCUAUAUGGUACAAAAGUGGCAAGAGUCCCGAGAGCUAUUGGAAAGCUUCAACAUUUGGAACAUCUGAAUUUGGGGAACACUGGAGUUAGGGAAUUACCCGUGGAAAUCCUAAAGCUGCAAAAGCUUCGGCAUCUCACAGUAUUCCAACGAGUUGAUCCCUCAGAUAGUGAUUAUGGAUUUCAUGGGUUUAAAGGUCCGUCAAAAUUGGGAGGGCUUCUCGCUCUACAAACAUUAAACACCGUAGAUGCAAGCAGCGGGUCUGUAAUAGUUAAAGAGAUAGGAAAAUUGACCCAAUUAAGAGAGUUAUAUAUUACACAGUUGAGAAGAGAAGAUGGAAAGGAGCUCUGCUCCUCCCUUGUCAACCUCACCAGCCUUCGGGAAUUAAGCAUUGAAUCAAUUGGAAAAGGUGAUGAUUCUGAGAUAAUAGAUCUAAAUCAUCAUCAACAUUCUCUUUCUUCUUCUUCUUCUUGUUCGUUUCUUCAAUCUCUUCGUAUGCUAAUUAUGUGUGGCCGCUUAGAAACGAUGCCAGUGUGGAUAACUCAUCUUCAAAACUUGGUAAAAAUACUUAUGAUCUGGAGCGGGUUAAGGGCUGAGGAAGAUCCACUUGAAUCCCUCCAACAUUUGCCCAAUUUGGGUGAAAUUGGUUUCUGUGGAUCUUACCAGGGAGAAAGGUUGAGUUUCAAGGCUGGAGGCUUCCUAAAGCUGAAACAAUUGUGGUUAAGGAGAAUGGAAGGGUUGAGAUGGAUGACAGUGGAGGAGGGUGCAUGCCCUUAUCUCCAAAGACUACAUCUGAGACAGCUUCCAUCACUAGAGGACUUACCUUCGGGAAUUCAGCACUUGAGCCAUCUUCAACGGCUGUCUUUGUAUGAGAUGAGUUCUCGACUGAUAGAGAAGGUGGGGAAUCAGAAGGAAGACAGGGAAGAUUACAGAAGAAUGGCACACAUUCCUGAAAUUGUCAUUGGUUUCUAUGCCGAUGAUGGGGAAUGGAGAAUCCGCCGGCUAUGGGGGAAGAAGAAGAAAACAUUCCUUGCCUAGCACUAGCAGCAUCCUGUGGCUUUCCUUUCUCAUUGUUUGCUUUCCCUCCCUGUUGUUGACGAUCCUGCUCUCUCUUGUUCUUCUAUUUUUCUGAGAAGUUUCUGAUGUUUUCUAUCUUCUCCACUACGCGUAGUAUGGUGCAUUGCAUCAUCAUCUUGUUCAUAUGCUGCAUUUUUUUAAUGUAUUUUUUUAACUGUUUUUCUUGAAUUUUAACUUCCCCAAAUAAGCGCUUGUGAGAUCAUGAGAUUGCAAUGGCUAUAGCAUUGUGCGAAAUUUGAGAAUGACAAUCUUCUUUUUACUCUUCAAUUUUAGAUAACAAAAGGGUCUGACCCCAAUUUUGAUUUAUUUCUAAAAAUUUCUCUAGAUUUGCCAAUUUUUUAGGAGCAUAAAAAUGGGAUUUGAGAAGCUCCUCAACUUCUAGCUGCAUAUGUAAGAGAAAAAAAAUACUAAACAAAUAAAGGGUGACUCACCAAAGAGUUGAAGGCCAAAAUGCAAAUCCAUCCAUCAUACUACACGAAUAACUUGCCACGAAAUCAUGGUGUUUAUUUCUCAAUCCAAAAAUAUGUAGUUCUUUGCCUUCUACUAAGGGCCUGUUGCGAGUUACAAUAACUUAUUAAAAAAUAAUUUUUUAAUAGAGUUUUUAAUAAAAAUACUUAUUAAGUAUUUAAAUACUUUAAAAUAUAUUAUUUGGAGAUAUAGUUCAAUAAAUACUUAUUGUAUUGGAUAAUAUGUAAUUUAAAAAAUUUUAAAUAUAUUUAUCUCUUUAUUUAGUUCAUAAUAUAGGAUAAAAUAAUUAAAUUCAAUGUUUUAUUUUUUAAAUCACAAAAGCUACUAUAAAAGUACCAAAUUUAAUCUUUUGCUAAAAGUGUUUUUAACACAAAAAUUUUUACUCCAAAUUUUAUGGGAUGAUAUUCACCAAACAUUAGCUUUCUAGAUCCAUUUUUCCAAACCAGAUAGAGAAAAAUAAAAAAUGCAUCAGAUUUUCCUUGAAAAUCUAAAUACUCUAUAUGAUGAUCAAAUAGCUAAAUAUCCUUCUAUUUCUGUCCUAAAAUGUGAUACUAGUAACCAAAAAUUAAAUGGCAUUCUCGUCAUUUUGCCCUCAACGAAAGCUAUCCUCUUUCUCUGGAAUGCCUAGAACCCCUGCACCCUUUCUUUCUCUGGAAGCUCUAACUAGUUCAUUUUGUAAGCAACAUAACUGAUUCACCACCAAUGGGUAUUUUUUCAUGGUUCAAGGGAACCAAAAACGAUACCAACUCCAAACCGGCGACCCAAAAAUCCGAACCGGUGAAAACCCAAUCCACUUCUGAAGUUCCCGGCAUGAACGGAGCAGUGGAGGUCCGGCGGCCUGGCCCACCACCAGCUGAGAUCACCGUUUUCGAAUUCGGUUCCAUUGCCGCUUCUGCCAAUAAGGUCACCCUCGCCGGCUUCUGCCCUGUUUCUGACGAGCUCGAACCUUGCCGCUGGGAGAUUCUGCCGGCUCAAGGCUCCGACGCCCCUCAAUUUCGCGUAGUCUUUUGACGGAAAAAUAGUUGGCGAAAAAGAAAGGGAGAAUUUUCAGCUUAGCUUUUGAGGAAAUGGUGAGGAGGAGUAAAAUCCCAAUCCUGAGUAGAGUUUCUUCAGUUCAUAUGGGGUUUUUUCUAUAUUAAAAAAACAAAAAAGCUUGUAUCUUUUUUCCUCUUUCAUUUUUGAAGUUUCUCUGUAAUUUAGCUCUGUUUGGCACUUUGAUUAGAAUAUGAUAAAGACCUUUACUGCACUCGUUUUUCCCUUUUUUUUGGUUGGGUCCAAAUUUGGGUACUAUUGGCUUGAAAACAUGAGGAGGAAGAGGAAAGAAGUAAAUUUGUUGUGAUAGAUUGGUUAUUGCGUUGUUGGAUGAUAGAUGCACAUUGUCUUCUGUUUCCUGCAAUUUGCUGUAGAAUUAUUAUGGAAAAGGGCGCCCUUGAAGCUCUAAUCAAUAAAGGGUUCAGGUUUUUAGGCCAAAUGUGAAGGGCAUUUGGACUGACGUUUGUACAAAAUGUACCAGUAUGUGUACACGAAAAUACAUUUCACGCGUGAAGGCCUUCUAUAGAUUGCCGAACAUUGUGCUUUCUUUAUCAAAUAAGGUUCCAAGCAUGCCCUGUUCUUGAAAUUUUGCCUGUUAUUAACUGGACUUGAUAGAGUGGAGAAGCUGUAGAUUUGUUGGAGUCCUUUUAUCUUGUUUUACAAGGUAAGAACUCAGCUUUUCUUUGCUUAAGAGUGUUUCAAGGAAGGAUGAGAUGGCGUGAGGGCUUUUAUACUCUCUGUCUAGUAGUUUAGAUCUGCUCUGUGUUUGUGUCUGUGAUUGCACUGGCAGGGUUGCGAGGGGGGUGGAGGAUGGGGAGUGUAUGUGUUCAUAUAUUGUGUAUGUAACUAUAUAACUAUGUAUAUGUCAAUAAGGAUGAGCUUAUAUGAAUUGGUGUACCAUGUAGAGCAUAUACCAAGUUAUGUUGAAAUAUAUGUGGGCAGCGAAAGAUUUGAGCCUAAACUCUUCAUGCUUUUUAAGCUGCUUUUGCAUUUGCUUGGUUUGUUUGUCAAAUAAAAUUGAAGCAAUUGCAUGCAUUUUUUACGUUUGACUCUAUGAUUUGGAUUCUAUAUUGUGAGGGAAGGGAGACUUUAGAAGCUUUUGGUUAAUGGUAAGUACCAAGUAGAAGUUUUCAAGGACUGAUUUGAAAAGUAGAAUGGAUGAAAACACUACAUGUUUGCCAGCUAUUAAGGAAAAAAAAAAAGGCAUAGAGGGUGUGUAGUUGCCUGUUUCUUUGGAAAAUUCAGCUAUGGAACAACGCAUAGAGGGCGUGAUAAUUACAACAUUAAGUUUUCAGAUUUUAUUUGGUUUGUCAAUCAUGUUUUGUCCCCUUCUUCUUCUUCUUCUUCUUUCUUUGGCAAAGUUAUGAUUGCAAGUGUUUAUUGGAUUGCUUAAUGACGAAUGAACCAUUGUUAUCACAGAAAAGAACUACAAGGGCAAUAUUGCUAGGUUUCACCAUAUGGUGGAAUGUGAUGAAAAGUAUGUACUUUCCGCCAUAAUGAGGAAAAAGUAGUCCAAUUUUUUUUUUUUUAAUGAUAGCGGGAAUGCAGCUGUUUUACUUUUUGUGGUUAAAGUGGAUUAAAUGGCAUUUGCGCCUACAAAUUCAUAGUUCAAAUUUGCUGCAACUGAUUGUAGAUACUUUAAAACAUUAUCGUGACAAAAAGUGUAGGCUCAUGAAGAUAUGCAGUGUUUGCUAUCUUCUUGGUGUCAUUGUAGUUACAUGAUGGUUCAUGAAGAUAUGUAUUCUCAAUAUUCAGCUAAACUUGGUUGAAACAGAAAAAAGAAUAAGGAUAAAUAGGACACAGUUCAAUUCUUAUUUGUUAAUGGUAGAUGGAUCUUUUUGAAAGUUUUCCAUGCUUUGUCUUGGCUCCCAAUGAGCACUGAUGUGUUUGUAAUACAACAUUCUGGUCAACUUCUGUUCUAUGGUUACAAAUUGCCUGCCUUCAGGAGUAUCUCUGAUAUUAUGGCUUGUUCCUCCAGAAACUUAAGAGGAAGCUUGAACAGUAGGCAAUAUCUUGACUGUUUAGGUAUGUACAUUUGACACUGACAGCAAGUGUGGUGUCUGAUGCGGUAUAUGACCUUAAUGGCGAGAUUGUUUAAUGUGCAACUCAGGUAUUCAUUCACUGAAAAAGUAACCACUCUUGUAUUUACAAAGCACAAAAUGAGAGGCAAUGCUCAGCAAUCAAGAAAAAGGCAACUUCUACGUUUUCCGCACAAUGGAAAAGUCUGAAAUUUUUAAAGAGAGUCGCGUUCAAAGGAUGCUAUAACCAUCAUCUUCGCUCGUUCCAAUGAAACACACGAUUGCUAGAACAAAUGUGAAAAAGGAUGAGAGCUCCAUUGCCAUUGCCCCCCACCCAAUUACUCCAGCAUGCUUUAAGAUGAUUGGUAUUGCUAUGCUACCAACAGCCGAAGCCCCGGUUAAGAAUUUGGUCACAUCUGCCCAGCUGUUGCCACAUUGUUCAUGAAAACCAAUUAAGGCCAAAAAAUCUAUAUAAAUAAACUUGAAUAAAAGCAUCUCGUCAGAGAAACAGUGCGGAAGGAAAAAAAAAAAAAACCUUACCCACUUUGAGAUUCAGAGAAGAGAGAUGAAGUAUCCGAGCCAGCCAAAAAAAUUAAGGGCAUAGGUAGAACCACAUACAUUAUUACUGCAAGCAGACAAUGCAAUCUAAGUCCUCCGGAAUUCCUCCUCGCAUGAAAAUGUUAGAUCGAAUUCCUCUGAGCAUGGACAAACUUACAAAACUCUUUAGGAGGGACCAAACAAUUAAAUUAGCUUUGCGCCAUCAUCAAUCGUCUUUAGUCUGACUGGACUAUGAAAAAGUUUCAAAAGGUUUUCGGAGACUAUAACUAGUUUCUCCUUUAUUGUGGGGCAACACAGAAAAUCGAACCGGAUUAGUUUUAUUUCUGAAUUGAGUUGCUUGCAGUUUCUGGUCAAAUGAAGAUAUAGCAUAUCAAAGAUCAUAAGCAACAUUACUAACAAAAAAAAAAAAGCAUUACUCUGGCUUCAAUGUUUGAGUUGUUAAGAGGUCUUUGUCAACUGUUCGUGUGGUCUGUCCAAUGAUGGGUUGUUAAGAGGUCUUGCUAUAAAAUGUAAAUGCAUCAUGCAAUAAGUUCAGGGCAUUAUUGUGCAGAUUGAAGGAUGAAAUGAACGAAACACUGGGGCAGGGGAGGGCUCUUAUAAUACUUCCCACUGCCAGGUUUAGGCUUCAAAUUUUGGGCUUGACAAUUAGAGGUGGGAAGGGUGAAGGGAUGGGUAAAAACAAAAAAAAAAAAAAGAAGAAGAAUAAGUUGAACUAUGCGAUGGUUUGUAUGAGUGCUGAUCUUACUCAAUUUUAAGUGUGCUAAAACUACUUAAUUGAGUCCGUUGCAGAAUGCAUAAAUUGUCGUGAAUAUACUUAAUCUGUGUGGAAACUGUUUAUAUACUUUUUUUUAAUUUCUGUUUUUUUUUUUCUGUGGAUAUAAUGCCUUGAAGGUACAAGCUAAGUGAUAGUAUGGAUGCACAUAAUGUGAAUGAAUGUAACUGGAAGCUAGAAGCACCAAUAAAUGAAGCAAUGACACAAGAUGCUGUUAGAUAUUAGAUACUAAGAUACAGGUCAACAUACUCCCUUAAACAGUUACAUGCAAUAUCAUAGAAAGUAUUUAGAUGAAGCUUUAAAAUGCUGUUAGAUAGUAUUUUGAAUGGGGUUUUUUUGAAGAAUGAUUUUGAUAUGAAACUACAUUGAACUGUAACUGGACUCUCUCUCAGAUAUACGGAGACCUUGUAAGCUUAGUCUUAGUUGUGAGUGUCAGUUGUAGUGCAAGGAGCCAAAAACUAAUGCGUCACAUGGAUUUAGUGGAUGUCUGCAUUCAGGAAUGAUUUUCAUAUGGAAAAUACAUUUUAUAGAGUAAGAUGAUAUGCAUAACUUUUAGUGACUCUUGUUGAGUUAAUUGCCAGUGUUGUGUUGGUGUAAGAGCCAUUUGUUAUUGAGUCAGACAGAGUGCCAAUAAGCAUCUUUCACUCACCGGAGUAAAUACAAGGUCGCGAAGGUUCGCUUGUGUCUCCUGAUGAAAUCGAUUUAGGCUCGCUUGUGUCUCCUGAUGAAAUCGAUUUGUAUUAGCAAUUAGUAAUCCCAUCAUUUCUUCAAGAGACAUACCUGACACGGAGGAUGAUUGCUGAGACUCUUGCUGUUGAAAAUCCCUUAGGCCCGUCGCAUAAUCAAAAUUGGAAUUAUCCCACCAUCCUUGAUCAUACCCGUUGGAAUAAGGGUCAUACUGUGUUUGAUAUUGGGGUGAAAAAUCUCCAAAAGUAUCAAUUGGAGCACUUAGAUUAUCUUGAAAUGCGGGGCAUGUGUCAGUUGAAUAACCUGAGCCAAAAUAAGUUUCACAAUUUGCAACAGCCCAUUGAUCAUUAGGAAAAGGGUAAAAUACAAAAAACCCCCUUGUGGUUUCACGAAAAGACACCUUACUCCCCUAUCGUUUAGAAACAUACACAUAAACACCUUAAACUUCAUUACUAAAGUGGAAAUUGACCUUUAACCGGAUGUGCAGGUCGAAUAUCAGGUAACAAGGCAGGCUGAAAACUGGACCUGUGAACAUCUCCUAGGAUCCAAUUGAGGAUCAUUAAAGACCCUCGCUUCCUGCAGAACAGCACCCUUCUCGAUCCCCAUGAAUGGAGAGUAAUCCACUACAGAUUAAAGAAUCGAAAUUACAACAUCGGAUUUCAUUGACUGCUACACUCAGGCAAGGUUCAAACAAAUUCCAAAGGCUAAAGCAGAUCUGAGCCAAAGUUAACCGAUCUCUUCGAAAUUAAUGUAGUGAAGAACUAACCCAGGGCUACAAAUACAAAUAGUUAAUAAAUCCGCAGGACCAGUAUUUCAACUUCUGCUAAUUCCUUUUUUUUUUUUUGUCUUUUUGCUUUUUAAGUGGGCACAGGUUUUGGAUAAAGUGUUUGAUCCGUGUGUCUUCUGGUUUUUAAAAAUUUACAACUUCCAGAUGGAAUUUCAUUGACUAAAUUUGCUUGCCAUAUAUGGAAAUUGAACUGGUUAUGUAUUUUAGCAAUUUUUCACCAGAGGAUCCAUUCAAUGACAGACAUGGUAAAGCUAGAACUCAACUCUCCCGUUUCUGAACAAUGAAAGGUAUGUUUUCACUACUAAAGGUCGUCUCAUGUUGCAGAGUGUUCUGAAGGAUAUUCAAACUCAGAAUAAAAAAUUUGGAUGGAAAAUCUUGCGAUACCAUAUUCCCUCUUUCAUCAAUGUUGUUCCUACAGACCUGAAGCAUUGGGUAUCUGUUUUAACAAGCCUCACUGCACUUUCUUCUCCUCAGAUUCGAAGUCCGUAACAGCUGCAAUCUCUUAUUUUCAAUCUUCUCAAGCUUGGCAAACAUUUCUUUUUGACAUCUGCAUUCACGUGAUUAUCAGCACCAAUUUUCCUGACAAAGCUCGUUUCUUGUCAAUCUGUAUGGCAGAUCUGAUUCAUAGCAAAUUUGCUUUGGUGGUGUCGCAUGCUGCUGAUACCAUUGCAAGACUGGAGAAAGAAGGAGUGUUGCGGAUCUCUUCGCUUCUGCCUUCUCUCUCUUCUGUAUGCUUAUAUCGGGUGGGAGAGUGAAGUCGAAUCGCAGAUAUCUCUUUGGUCGACGUUGUACAAAUUAGUUUCCCUGGACAGUAACUUUUUUCUUUUUUGUGAAGGAAUUGGACAGCCUGCCAGGGUAUUUGACCUUCUGCCGGUAACUAAGCCGGUUCAAAAGGUAAUUUCCACUUUAGUUAUGAAGUUUAUGGUGUUUAUGUGCAGGUUUCUAAACGAUAAGGGGGUGAGGUGUCUUUUCGCGAAACCACAAGGGGGUUCCUUGUAUUUUACCCUUAGGAAAAACAUGAGUCCCAUAACCCCAUUCAGGAACAAAGUCCAGUCUAUCAUCAAAAUAUGGAAUGUUAGCGGCCAUAAAAAAAAUAAAAAAAAUAAGAGAAAAAUAAAAUAAAAUAAAAGAAUAAAAUAAAAACAAGAUGAACUCAAAAAGAAACAAAUUAAUCUGACACCAGUCCCCGGCAACGGCGCCAAAAAUUGACAGGUUGUCGAAGCCUGUGCAAUAAUAAAACCUGCUCAAACUAAAAGUGAUUUCUGUAGAUAGCGGUGAGCAGGGUCGAAUUCACAGGGACUGGGAGUAAUUAUUUCUUUUCAAGUUCACAGUGACAAGGGAGGUGUUUUUGUGCAGAAGGUGACAAUCAAAGAAAUUCAACUAAAAUCUAAGAAACUACUAAAAAUUAAAUAACAAAUUACUAAAAUCUAAUGAGUGAUAAUUAAGGAUCUAGCCAAGGAAUAACUUCAGCAAUGGUUCACCUAAUUGAUCAUUGAAGCAAAGGCAAUUCCAAUUAUUCAUCAAUAAAUAGGUUAUAACUACCAAACAAGCGAUGGCAGUCAACCCCUCCUUACUGUGUCGGUGAUCAAGGUACGCCCGUUAAUCACUGCUCUAAUUGAGAAAUAAUCCUAAGUACGCCCGUAGAAUUUAAUUCCCCAACUGACUUACGUAUCAGAGGAGCCCUAUUCUAAUCAAAUAACACAGUACCAGGGUUUUUUUAGAUUAGCCCGUGUAUCCCCCUGACACGAACCUAAUCAUGCCAGUUGUCACUAUUUUAGAGCAAUUAAACAAUUACGGAUUUAAUGCCCUAAUUGACAAUAGAUUACCCAAUCAACUAAUUAUCUGGAUCCAAAACAAUCAAUUAAUUAAAUAACCAUAAGUAUAGCAAUCAAGAAAUAUGCGGAUACCAAUAAGUAAAAGGAAAAGAUUAAAUUAAAACGAUCUCACAAUUUUAGGCGACCCAAAGCAUCCGUUGUCCCUUGACUAGACAAGGGAAAUUAGUUCAUUGUUGCUAAAUAAAGCCCACAAGAAAUUGUAAAGAGAGCCGCGGCCAUUGUCACGGAUAUUUGGAGAAUUCAAUUCGCAAGAACUAAAGGGGAAGAAAAGUCAAAGCUGUCCUCUUUGCUCCUGCCAUGCGUACCAAGACCCAAAGGAAAAGUCACCAGUAAAGCUAUUCCUAUUUGCUCCUGACAUGCGCAGGGAAGUCCUAAUCAAAAGCUUCAAAAGGAAAAUCGCAAGCUAAGCUCCUCAGCAAUCUUCAUACGUAAGAAAGAAACUAGCUAACAAGAACUAAGAAGAAAAGUCAACAACUGUGGCUAAGCUACAAGACGGAAAGCUCUCCAAUGUGCGGCGGCUCCCCUUCCGGAGAGGAAGAAGAAGACCCCCCCUUCAGCCCUUCGUUCCUCCUUUUAAUGCUGCGCUCUGCGAAUUACCAAAAAGGCCUUGUAUCUUCUUGUUCCAAAAAUGCCCUGGAUGCCUGCUACUUGAACUCUUUCCCGAUGACUGUCAAAUUGGCCUUGAUUGUGACAUUUUUAUUCUACUCCCUAAAAUAAAUGCAAAUUAUGAAAAGUGAGUAGAAUCUAAUAAUUAAUUCACAUUGGGUUAAGUAAUAGGGGAAAUUAAUUAUAAAAUAAAUGAUAAAAUUACAACCUAUCAAUUCCCCCCACACCUAAACCAUGCUUGUCCUCAAGCAUGAGAACAAGAAACAAACACCAAUAUUUGAUAGUGGCUAUUGCUCUAUCCAACAAAUUGCCAAGAUACCAAGAAAAAUAAUAUUUAAGCAUCAAUGGUCAAGUCCAAGAAACAUCACUCCGGUUAGCUUCUAAACCAUAAACUCUUCCAAUUUCAUGUUAACUAAUCUAAGAAAAAGGAAUGACGCAUAACAUUUAUCAGCAACUGGUCCAACUAUUAACCAAAAUCUCAACAUUAAAUCCAUAAUUCGGCAAGCUGACUUUUAUUACACACUAACACAACCUUCACUUUUUUCACAUUUUUUUUUCUACUUUUCUCUUUUUUUUUCCUUUUUUUUUUGAUUUUUUUUUCAAUAGUAACAAAUGACUUAGUCGCUAGCCAUUUGAGCCUUUUGACGCGAACUCCAACAUUGGCCAGAUGAAAGAGCCCGGUUACUCAGCUUCUAUCGCCACGUGACCACGUACUCAUAGCAAUUACUACUUUUUGACGCGAGAAUCAACACUUUUAGGUGCAGAUCCCCGGUUACUCAGUAGUAACUAAUAGCGGAGUACAGUCAAAUGUAUUCAUAGCUAAAAAUCAUAAAAACUCAAUAUAACACAAGAACCAAAAGAAAACUUGCAUCAGCUAACCUCAUUUUCAAACAUGGAGAACUAAAGUUAAUAACCGGACCAAUUCACAUGAAAAUGCCAAUAAUCAUUCCCUAUGCCUAGGAAAGUUAACCAAAAAUUAGAAGAGCUAUAUAAUCACUGAUAUUCACCAAAGGAAUGCUCUUGGAUUCAACCACAUUAACUCGAUACAUUUUUAUUAUUAAAACUUGGCAAAAGUAGAAAUAAAGGCAAUAAUCCAACAUCAAACCUUGGCAUGCACUCAAUCACUAAAAAGAAGAAAAAAGAAAAUGAACGAAAGACACUAGCACCAUAAUUGCUCCCCCCACACCUAAAUCCUACAUUGUCCUCAAUGGAGGUAAUAAAGUAAUGAAAGCGAAGAGAACAAUGAAACUUCCCUAUUGAACAGCUAAGGGAUAGGAGGGAACAGUGGAGGGAAGCCGAGUUCUGAGACAUCCUUGCCACUUGGCGUAGAUAAUGCGCACUGGCAACCAAGCAAUAUCAGGGCAGAGCAAUAGCCAUCUAUGUCUCCCAAUUCAUCAGGCAACUUUAGAAAUAACUCAACCAGAAUACCAAAAGAAACCUGAACAAACUUAGCAAUUGAAAGCAAUGGUCAGAAUAUUUCCCAGCAAUUCAAUCAGAUGCACCCAACUGGAAUAAGCAAUGUAAAUGGCAUAGAAACCUCCCAAUUGAACAAACAAGUGCAGGAUUGCAGUGCACCCAAAAUCUCAACAAAUGGCUCCAGUUGGCCAGCUAAAGCCUUAACCCAAAAUCAGCAAUUCCAAUGAAAAUAACAUAGAUAUUGGACAAUAAGAACGCAACCAACCAAAUAGAGGUACCCAAUUGAGGUAUAAGACCCGCAUGCUACAUGAAUGCUGCCAAAUUCUGCGCCAUGCUAUGCACAUUGUUAAUUAGACAUAAUCACUAAGCAAUAAGCAAUGAAAGUGGCACAGUAGCCUUCCAAAUUAACAAACAAAAGCAGAAAUUACUCAACUCACGUCACUCCAAUGGACUCAAGAUAGAAGGCAGGACAAUAGACUCAGGUGAAACCAAAAAUGACCCCAACAAAGUAGCAAAUAAUGACAAAAUGAACUCACCCCUAAAGCCCAAAAGUUGUCACCAAUUGGAAAGUCCAAUACAUAACUCAACUGGGAGCAAAUAUAAGCACAAGGGUUUGGGUUUUCAAGCAAACAGCUGACCAAACACACAGGGAAGAAGCAAUUCAAAUAGGCCGCCCAAAACACUGAUACAUCCAACAGCACAAGCAAUACCAGAAACAGAAGAAACCAAAACGGCAAUCAAUUGUGGCAAAUAACUCCCAAGGCAGCCCCAAACAUGCAAUAGAAACUCCAAGCAAGGCACAGGUAAGGAAAAUCAAGCAAUAUACCACUUGCUAAUAUCCACCCAAAAACACAAGAAAAUGGCAACAACUCCAGCAGUUUAAAAUCCAGAAAAAAAAAAUUUAGAGACAGAGGUGAACAGCACUACCUCCACCCGUCAAUUUGUUUGACAGGUGGUGAUGGUGGACAGCGUCCGUAGUAGUGGCGGCGGUGAGCCGGAGCUUGGGUGAGCUGUGCGACAGAGAAGGAGAAGACCGCAGGGUCUGCGUGCAGCUGCUUGGUGGCGGAUGAGGUGGUGAUGCGGCCGUGAGCAGGGGCGAGGCACGCGAGGGAGCUGCGCUGGUGGAUGGCUCGCCACGCGCGAGAUUGGGCAGCGGAGUUGGCGGCUUGGGCGGCAACAGGGGGAAGAUGAGCUGGUGUGAGGUGGAGUGGCUUGCGGCGCGAUGCUGGUCGCGCGAGGUGGUGGCGAUGGAGCUACGGUAGAGAGAGGGAGGCGCGGCCUCGGGUGAGAGAGCUGGCAGCCGCGAGGAGGGCGGCGGCAAUCGGGGCGUUGGCGUGCGCAGAGGGAAGAAGAAACAGGGGAAGAAGAAAGAAAGAAGAAGAAAAAAAAAGAAAAGAAAAGAAAGAAAAGAAAGAAAAAAAGAGAAAGAAAAGAAAAAAGAAAUUUUUUUUUUCUCUUGUUACGGUUAAGAGGAAAGAUUUUUCUUCUUCUCUUUUUUUUUAUUUAUUAUUUUUUAUUUGAUUUGUUAUCAUUUCAUUUAUUCAAAAAAAAAUUCUUUUUUUUUCUUCUUUUUUUAUUUUAUUUUUUUGAAUUCUUACCUUUUCCACGAACGUGACACGGGCGCGUCAAGAGAACAAGAGAGCUCCCAGAAGUUCAGGUCGUGAGCUUUUUGCACGUCACCACGCGGGCGCGUCAUGAGGGCAAGAGAGCUCCCAGAAGUUUGAAGUUUCUGAUCGUGAGCUUCCUGCUCGUCACCACGCGGGCGCGUCGUGACUGAAUGGCACCUAUAAAGCAGCAAAAACGAAAACUAACACCCAAAAAUCAGUCAAAUUCAAGGAAAACAGAUUUAAACUAUGACGUGAAACCAACAAACAACUAAAAGAAACAAUUGGGUUGCCUCCCAAUGAGCGCCUUUCUUUAAUGUCUUUGGCUAGACAUUAUCAUGUUUUGUUCAUGGAGGAUAAAAUCGUGUGGCUCGUCUUAAUGCUUCAUCCUCUAUAUAGUCCUGAUAACCCUCGUAAAUAGAAUAAUCCUUGAGCAUACGAGUUACGGGCUUCCAUGGACUAGUGAAUGGCGCCAAACGAGUCGAUGAUAAUUUGCAUUCUCCAUUCACUCCUCCCUCACUUGCAUUUAUUGGUUCAAGAUAUCUUGCCAUCGCCACUCUUAAUUUAUUCCUGUCAUGAAAUUCAAAAUUGUCUGGUAUAAUAAAGUCAAUUUCGUUAACAGGAAUUGAAGAGUAAGAGUCAGGAGAAUAUUGAUGAAAGAGUGGAGGAGAUGUCACCGCAUUUGGAAAUUGUUCACUGGAUUCUUUCACGUGAAUGGGUUGCGGUUGGGGUUCCAUUUCUUCCUUUUUGGCUUUUUCUUCAACUGCAUCUGUAGAUUCCUCAUUUUGACACUCUUGCAUCUCCUCGUCACUAUUCAAGCAAAUUGCACUCUCAUUUUCUUCUAGAUCAACAAUGGUUUCGAGGGCAAUUCUUCCAUUUGAGAAGCCCAUCGAUUUAUUCUGGAUGUCAAUAGACAUAGUUGACCUGCCAGAUAAUUUAAUGCAUCCUUCAUCAUCUCAUUCUCCAUUAGUGUCUCCUGUUGGAAUUUGUAUGUGUUAGUAGCUAUUGGUUCAACUAUUUCUUCAAGAGACAUACCUGACAUAGAUGCCGAUUCUUGAGACUCAUACUGCUGAAAAUUCAUUGGCCCCGUUGGAUAAUUAUAAUUGGAGUUAUCCCACCCUCCUUGAUCAUACCCAUAUGGAUUAGGGUUAUACCCCGUUUGAGACCAGGGUGAAAAAUCUCCAUAAUUAUUGAGUGGGACAUUCAGAUUAUCUUGAUAUUCGGGGCACAUACUGGUUGAAUGAUCCCUGGCAUAACAAAUUUUACAUGUUGCAGCAGCCAUUCUUUUUCUAAUAGAGUUUACUGCCUCUGCAUAUGCCAACUCAAGAAAAAAACAAAUCUCAUCGCCUUGCCCGGAAAUAAAAUCCAAUACAUCACCAAAAUACGGAGUGUUAGAAGCCAUAAACUAUAUAAAAAAAAUAAGAGAAAAAAAAUAAAUAAAAAAUGAAAACAAAAUGAACUCAAAAGGAAACAAAUUAAUCUGACACCAGUCCCCGGCAGCGGCGCCAAAAAUUGACAGGUUGUCGAAACCUGUGCAAUAAUAAAACCUGCUCAAACUAAAAGUGAUUUUUGUAGAUAGCGGUGAGCAGGGUCGAAUCCACAGGGACUGGGAGUAAUUAUUUCUUUUCAAGUUCACAGUGACAAGGGGGGUGUUUUUGUGCAGAAGGUGACAAUCAAAGAAAUUCAACUAAAAUCUAAGAAACUACUAAAAAUUAAAUAACAAAUUACUAAAAUCUAAUGAGUGAUAAUUAAGGAUCUAGCCAAUGAAUAACUUCAGCAAUGGUUCAUCUAAUUGAUCAUUGAAGCAAAGGCAAUUCCAAUUAUUCAUCAAUAAAUAGGUUAUAACUACCAAACAAGCGAUGGCAGUCAACCCCUCCUUACUGUGUCGGUGAUCAAGGUACGCCCAUUAAUCACUGCUCUAAUUGAGAAAUAAUCCUAAGUACGCCCGUAGAAUUUAAUUCUCCAAUUGCCUUACGUAUUAGAGGAGCCCUAUUCUAACCAAAUAACGCACUACCAGGGUUAUUUUAGAUUAGCCCGCGUAUUCCCCUGACACAAACCUAAUCAUGCCAGUUGUCACUGUUUUAGAGCAAUUAAACAAUUACGGAUUUAAUGCCCUAAUUGACAAUAGAUUACCCAAUCAACUAAUUAUCUGGAUCCAAGACAAUCAAUUAAUUAAAUAACCAUAAGUAUAGCAAUCAAGAAAUAUGCGGAUACCAAUAAGUAAAAGGAAAAGAUUAAAUUAAAACGAUCUCACAAUUUUAGGCGACCCAAAGCAUCCGUUGUCCCUUGACUAGACAAGGGAAAUUAGUUCAUUGUUGCUAAACAAAGCCCACAAGAAAUUGUAAAGAGAGCCGCGGCCAUUGUCACGGAUAUUUGGAGAAUUCAAUUCGCAAGAACUAAAGGGGAAGAAAAGUCAAAGCUGUCCUCUUUGCUCCUGCCAUGCGUACCAAGACCCAAAGGAAAAGUCACCAGUAAAGCUAUUCCUAUUUGCUCCUGACAUGCGCAGGGAAGUCCUAAUCAAAAGCUUCAAAAGGAAAAUCGCAAGCUAAGCUCCUCAGCAAUCUUCAUACGUAAGAAAGAAACUAGCUAACAAGAACUAAGAAGAAAAGUCAACAACUGCGGCUAAGCUACAAGACGGAAAGCUCUCCAAUGUGCGGCGGCUCCCCUUCCGGAGAGGAAGAAGAAGACCCCCCCUUCAGCCCUUCGUUCCUCCUUUUAAUGCUGCGCUCUGCGAAUUACCAAAAAGGCCUUGUAUCUCCUUGUUCCAAAAAUGCCCUGAAUGCCUGCUACUUGAACUCUUUCCCGAUGACUGUCAAAUUGGCCUUGAUUGUGACAUUUUUAUUCUACUCCCUGAAAUAAAUGCAAAUUACGAAAAGUGAGUAGAAUCUAAUAAUUAAUUCACAUUGGGUUAAGUAAUAGGGGAAAUUAAUUAUAAAAUAAAUGAUAAAAUUACAACCUAUCAAAUAUUAUUCUUAACAAUCCAAAAAAAAAAAGGCAAGAUUACUCUGGCACUAGUUACCAGCAAUGUCGUUGAUGAGAAUAAUAGAGACUCAAUGAGACUGUGCUUCUUUUGUUUGAGAGUCUUUGAAGAUGAUACAGCUAAGACUUAACGUAAGAAUAAAAAGGACAAGAAGAAUAAAGCCAUGUUUAUUUAUCUCAUUCUUGCUCAUAAGGGCUGAUUUAUUCCUAAAGUGGUGCUUCAGCUCUCACCGUGAUACUAAUUUCCGGAAGUGAAGAAAGAAUAAAUCAUUUCAACUUUCUUUCUACAAAUUCCAAACCAUGGGGAACAAGGAAGGUAGAAAAAGAGCAUUACUUCCGAUGGAAUCAACCUGAUCCGCACCAAGGUCUUCCUUCCUAUAUAAUAAAUCCUUCUCAGGCACCAAAAAAUAUAUGAAGUUAAAACCAUUCUUCUACUUAUAACCAUAUAAAAAGAAGCUAAAACCUUGCCUCCUCCUUCUUCUUGAAAACAAAAACAAAAAACUAUAAAAUGGCAGAAACUGUUGUCUCUUUUGUUUCAGAUCAUCUCGCAACCUUACUCCGAGAGGAGGGAAGCCUAUUAGGAGGGCUUCGACAAGAGGUCGAACUCAUCAAGGAUGAGUUGGGGCAUAUGAGAGCUUUCCUCAAAGUGGCUGAAGCAAAAGAAGAUGAUGAUCCCAGGUAUGGGUGGCAAACCAACUAUUUAACUAAAUUUACUCAUAUUCGCAUAUGAAUAGAUGGGUAUGGUAUUUUAAAUUUUUUUAUAUGAGUAUAAAUGGGUUACCUUAUAAUAUCCAUUUAUUAAAUGAAUAUUAUUGGGUAACCAAUCAAACCCAAUUAACCCAUUUAAAAUUCUCUUCGCCCAAGUCUCUCCUCUUCCCCCAAGUCUUUUCUCUUCCCCCACCCAUUUUUUUUUUCAAAUUUUUUAUUUUGUCAUGAUAUUAACUACUUUUGUUUCAUUAUUAUUAUUAUUUGUUGGUUUAUCUUAUUAUUUUAUUUUCUCUUAGUUUAGUUUGUUAACUUACUCAUUUUUCGGCAUUACCAAUUUAUGAUAAGUUUUAGUCUCUUUUCUUAUAUUUCUAAAAUGAAAUUUUAAAUUUAUAUAUGAAAAAAAUGUUACGGGUUCAAAAUUUUUGGAUUAAGUUUUUAUAUUAAUUUUUAUAGUACUUAGUUCAAAUUUUUAUAUUCUUAUUACUCAAUUAUUAAAUAAUAUGUAAUUUUGCGACAUAGAGUAUCAAUGGAAAAAAAUUGGGAAUUAGACUUAUUGAACAUUAUAAGUAAAUAUUUAAAACUAAUGAUGGGUACAAAGAGCGAUAUAAAUUGAUAACUUUAGUUUGCAAAAAAGAAUUUAAAUGAGUUUAUAAAAAGUUAAAAUAAAUGGGUUAUAAAUGGGUAAUUGGGUUACCCAAUUCAGUUUUUGACAAUCCAUUUAUACUCAUCUAAUUAAAUGGAUAUAAAUGGAUUGACUCACUUAUAUCAUUACCCAUUUUACCCAACCCAAACCCGCCCAAGUCACCCAUUUUGAUACUUCUAAUCCCAGGCUCCAAGAAUGGAUCAAGCGAGUGCGCGAAGCUGCUUAUGACAUUGAAGAUGUUCUCGAUGAAUUUGUACUUCGCUUUGCUGGCUACCGACAUCAUGGAUUCUGUGGCUCUCUUCAGAGAAUUCUCAAAGCCAUUAAGAGCUUGCGAGCUCGUCAUCAGGUUGCCAGUGAAAUUCAAAGCAUAAAGUCCAGGAUCAAAAAUAUUUCAGAAUUACGUCGGAGAUACCAAGAUGAAUUUGGCAUCGACCACCGUGUCACUGGAUCUUCAACCAUGAACGACUCACGGCGCUAUAGCAGGGAUGAUGCACUUCUAGUGAAGGAAGCAAAAUUGGUUGGCAUUGACCAGCCCAAACAACAUCUGAUUUCUAAGCUUCUCGAGGUGCACGAUCACCAACUCAAAGUUAUUUCAGUGGUUGGUAUGGCUGGACUAGGGAAAACUACCCUAGUCAAAAAAGUCUAUGAAGAUCCAGAAGUUAGAAAGAAUUUCCCAGUUCGUGCCUGGGUAACCGUCUCUCAAACAUGCGACUUCCCAAAGCUCCUGAGAGACUUGAUUCGGCAGUUGAACAAGGACUUCGACAAAUCAGUCCCACAAUCGAUCGAGUCCAUGACUACCGCUGAGCUGAAAGAAUUUGUCAAAGAUUUUCUUCGACGAGCUGGAAGGUAUGCAAUUGUGUUUGAUGACGUGUGGGACGUGGAAUUUUGGAAUGAAAUCAAAUUUGCACUACCUGAGGGUAACUACGGCAAUCGUGUCAUGCUGACAACACGAAAUGCCGAUGUAGCCCCUGCCUCUUGCACAGAAUCUCAGGAUUAUGUCUACAAAAUGGAGCCACUAUCAAUUGAAGAUUCGUGGACCCUAUUUUGCAACAAGAUCUUUAAAGGAAAUCGUUGCCCCGCCCACCUGAUGGAUGUUGCGAAAGCUGUAUUGGACAAAUGUGACGGUUUGCCUUUGGCGAUUGUUGCGAUCGGUGGGCUCUUGGCUUCGAAGGAUGCGAGCAGAAUAGAUGAAUGGGAGAUGAUUCAACACAGUCUUGGGGGUGAAUUAGAAGGAACAAGUAAGCUAGAGAGAGUUAAAAUGAUACUCUCUCUUAGUUAUAGUGAUUUGCCUUGGUAUCUAAAGACAUGUCUGUUGUAUUUAAGCAUUUAUCCAGAGGAUUAUCUAAUACAAUGCCAGAGGCUGAUUCUAUUAUGGAUUGCUGAAAGAUUUGUAGAAUGGAGAGAAGGAAUGAGUAUUGAAGAUGUGGCCCGGGGUCAUCUCGGUGAACUCAUCAGCAGAAGCCUAAUUCAAGUAACUGAAGUGUUUUAUGAAGGAUUGCCCAACAAUUGUCGAAUCCAUGACUUAAUGAGGGAAGUUAUUCUCAUCAAGUCAAGGGAACAAAACAUGGUGACAGUUACUACUGGACAACCAAUGACGUGGCCAUCUGAGAAGGUACGCCGUCUAGCAAUCCAUAGUAGUAGUAACAGUAGCAACAUCCAAUACCACCAACAAUGACAAUUUUAUUCCUUUGAACACCUUCGAUCAUUCAUCACAGUUAGUUCCACCAACCCAUUACUAUCCAAAACUUUCCUAUCUGAAGUUCUAAGGAGCAGCAAGCUGCUAAAGGUUUUGGAUUUGACUGAUGAAGAGAUAGAGGAAACACCAAAUGAGAUUUUCAACUUGUUGCAUCUCACAUACCUGAGCCUAUAUGGUACAAAAGUGGAAAGAGUCCCGAGAGCCAUUGGAAAGCUUCAACAUUUGGAAUAUCUGAAUUUGGGGAACACUGGAGUUAGGGAAUUACCCGUGGAAAUCCUAAAGCUGCUAAAGCUUCGGUAUCUCAUAGUAUUCAAAGCAGUUGAUCCCUCAGAUGAAGAUUUUGGAUUUCAUGGGUUUAAAGGUCCGUCAAAAUUGGGAGGGCUUCUCGCUCUACAAAGGUUAGAAACCAUAGAUGCAAGUAGUGGGUCUGUAAUAGUUAAAGAGAUAGGAAAAUUGACCCAAUUAAGAGUGUUAUAUAUUACACAGUUAAGAAGUGACAGGUGCCGAACCUGUACAAUAAUAAAAACCUACUCGAGAAAAAUACAGAUUUUGUAUAUAGCGGUGAGUAGGGUCGAAUCCACAGGGACUGGGGAUAAUUCGUUUCUUCUAGAGUUCAAGAUAUGGGGGGUUUUGGAUUAAAUGCUAACUAAAUAAAUUAACUGCAGAAAAUAAUUAAGUAAAAGAAAUAAUUAAGAUAGCUCUAGCCAAGGGUAUACUUCAGAAAUGGUUCAGGCACUGAUCAUUGAUUCGCAGAUAAUUCCAACAUUUAGUAAUAGAUUAGUUAUAGUUGUCAUGCACGCGAUAAACAACCAACCCUUCCUUAAUUUCUCGAUAGCUAUGGUACGACCGUUAGCUAUUUCUCUAACCCAAAAAUAACCCCAGGUACGACCGUGGAAUUUAAUUUCUAGAUUGCAUUAAUAAUUAGAAAGGCCCAAUCCUAACCAACAAACACGCUACGAGGGUUUGUUUAAGCUAGAUCAUAUGCUCCCCUGACAUAAACCCAAUUACGCCAGUUGCUACUGAGGUAGAGAUAACGAACAAUUACGGAUUCAAUUACCCCUAUUUAGCAAAAUAGCCCAUAUGAAUAAUUAAUUAUUACGCACUAAUCAAUCAUACACAAGAGCUAUAACAGUUAAAAGCAGGAAACAUAUGAACACCAAUAAAUGGAGGAAACAAUUAAAAUAAAUUCGAUCUCACAGUAAUUGUUGAACCAAAUCUUCAGUUGUCCCCUUGACUAGAAUUGAGAGGUUAGUCCUCCAUUAAUGGAGAACAACCAUGCGAAAAAGCUAAGAAGAGAAAACUAAAAACUAUGCUAAAAGCUGUCUUAAACUAUUCAUAAAGGCUCUCGAUAAGAGCUCUCCCCGAAAGACCAAAGUUCCCUCCUCUAAACAAAUGACUACCUCUCUCCCUUUUUGGUCUCUCAGAUGAUAAGGAAAAGAUAAGAUAAAAAGUCAAGUGCUACCUAAUGUCCUGUUUUCUCGUUUCCUAUUGCUAGUCAAUUAGCUAGUACAAUGCACUCCUCAUCAGCACAAAGAAAAGGAAAUCGUUUUCUUCUUCUCCUUGUGGGCCAGCAACCGAAAAAGGCUUCCUUGUAGCACCAUAUGGGGCCCAACUGUUUGAAGUCUCAAUUGUAUAGUGGAAAAUCCCUCAUUUUUUGUAGUUUUCUGUUUCACUUCCUGAAAUUGAGUCCAAUACCAAAUAUAAGUAAAUAUUAAUAAUUAAAACAAUAUUUGGCAAGGAUAAAGGGGAAAAUUAACAAUAAAAUAACCAACAAUUAACACCCUAUCAAUUCCCCCCACACCUGAAUCAUGCUUGCCCUCAAGCAUGAGAACAACAAUUGAACACCAAAAUUUAAUAAUGGCUAUUGCUCCAACUACCGUAUUGCCAAGGUACCCAGAAGAACAUAUAUCAAGCAUCACAGGUUAAAAUCAAAGAAAAACCACCCGGUUAGCUUCCCAAUCACCAACUCCUCCAAUUUAAAGCAAACUAAUCUAAGGAAAAGGAAUGGUUGCUCACAUCUAUCAGUAAAUGGUCCAACUAUUAAUCAAAAUCUCGACAUUAAGAUCACAAACCGGCAAGCUGACUUGUUCAAAUACUAACACAAUCUUUAUUUUAUUUUUUUCUUUUUUUUUGUUUUUUGUUUUGUUUUGUUUUUUUUUUUUAGUAGCAAAAGACUUAGUCUAUAGCCCUUAGAGCCUUUUGACGCGAACUCCAACAUUUGAUAGAUGGAGGAGCCCGGUUACUCAGCUCCAAUCGCUACAGGACCACGCACUCAUAGUAACUACUACCUUUUGACGUGAGAAUCGACACUUUAGGUGAAGAUCCCCGGUUACUCAGUAGUAACCACUAGCGGAGUACAGUCAACUCUUAUUCACAAUCAUAUAGCACAAUAACUAAAAAUAACACAAAAAUAACAGCAACCGGUCUCAAAUUUCCAAACAUGGAGAACUAAAAUUAAUAACUGGACCAAUUCACAUGAAAAAUGCCAACAAUCAUUCCCUAUGCCUAGAAAAGUUAACCAAAAAUUGAAAAAGUUAAGCCAUUACUGAUAUUCACCAGAGAGAUGUUCUUGAACUCAACCACAUCAACUUGAUACCUUUUUAUUAAUAAACUUGGCAAUAACAGAAUUAGAGACAACAAUCCAGCAUCAAAACUUGGUAUUCAUAUGAAGACUGACCACUAGAAGAAAAGAAGAAAAGAAAAUAAACGAAAAAAAGAUAAAUAUCAAACUAAAAAUAAAGGAAAAGCCCUUAGAAACUUAAAAUAAAAAUACUAGCACCACAACGAUCCCCCCCACACCUAAUUCACACAUUGCCCUCAAUGUGAUAAAUAAAUAGUAAUAGCAAGGCGAAAGGCAACGGAACUUCCCUGAAAGUCGUCAAAAUAGGGGCGGAUCGGGCAGGAACUGAGGAGCAGGACCUGCAUGGUGCAUAGAUGCUGCCAAAUUCUGCGCCAUGUGAGGUUCUAGGUGUCCUAGACCUAGAAGAUGACCAUGGCCUCACCAUUGGUUCUAAAGAUCACUCCACUUGACAAGAGACAACAAUGGCCAACAAAUAAUAGAAACAGGAAAUUCAAAGCAAUAAGAAUUGAAAAGCCAACCCAACGAAUAAAAUGCACAAUUCAACCACCCAGAGGUCAUACAAAUACCCCAACACUUAUAGCAAAUGCAAUCAAUAAGUACUUAUGGACCCCAUGUAGUCAAAUUCAGAAUUAAGGUCGUCCAAAGUGCAACAACUGCUCCAAAUACCCCAAGUAAGUCAAUUAAAGGCAACCGACUUCAACAAGCAAAUGCAAACUGCACAUUCAUGCCCCAAUUCAACAAAUAAACGCAGAAAAGUGGCCACAAUACUAGAGCACAGCUCCCAAUAAUGCAACAGAACAGCAACUCGAACAAACUAGGAACUGUGCUAGUGUCUUAAUAAAUCAACAACUUUCAGCAAUUAGACACAAUCGGACCCAAUAUCGUAACAACUGUCUCCAAUUGGACAGUCAAUUACCCACUUCAACCUGCUAAAAUUAGCAAUUGACCCAAGAAAAUGGCAACUCCAGCAACAACAGUUCAGAAGUUGGACAGAAACAACUCAACCACAAAUGCCCAGUAGUCGAUUAGGCAACCAAUAACACAGGAGUAACAAAUAUUAUGUAAACUACCCUCACCAGUACCACUGGUGCAUGCAUAAGGAAAAUUGAAAUCAAAUGGCCAACCCAAGACAUGUGAUAACGCCAAACACACCACUCAGUACCACUGAAUGGCAGAGAGUAACACGGGACCCAAUUGACAAGUAACUCCCAAAUUACCCCCAACAAUUUCCAAACAAAUAAACUGGCACAAAAGUCAUCCAAUUUUAUCCCCCAGAUGCAAUAGAAAUCUCAAAUAGUCAAAGCCCAAAUAAUAUUCAACAAUAUAAUCAAUACCAGAGAGCACCCCCAAAUGGGGUAGCAAAUAAAUUGAAUUCCACCCAAAAUCUCAACAACUGUCUCCAAUUGGACAGUCAAUUGCACAACUCAACCAACCAAAUGAAUUGGGAUAGUAACUAUGGCCAUUAAAUCAACAAUCAAUGCACUAAGUAUUAUAGUUGUUGGAUUGAACAAAUAAAUGCACAACUCUGCCAACUACAAUUCAGUAGAGGCCUGAAUACCUUAGCUACUUAAAUCAACGGUCAUAGGGCAUCAAGAAUUCAGCAAAAUAAUUUAGCAGGGCCCGAAAACCAAAAUUCAACAUAGAACCCAAAGUCUGUGCCCAAUUCAAUCUAGAAAUCUAUUCCAGAAAUAGGACUCCAAAUAUAAGUAAUGUACCUUAGAAAGUUGGCCAAUAAUUUGGGAAAAACAAGUACCUCCGCCUCAUACCAGAGACACCAAGCAGAUGGCCAUGGGUGGUGGAGCAGUGGAGCAGCGGAGGAGCUGUUGGCCGUGAGCUGGUGACGAGGUGGAGAGAGAGCAGAGGGAGGUGGCGCGCGGUGGUGGCCGCGGCUGUGGAGCGUGGGCAGGCGGUGGUCAAAGGCGCUGGUGAGUGGAGGUGGCGGGGAUGAAGCUUGGAACGGAGGCGGCGGCGAUGGCAGCUGGUCAGCGGCGUGCAGCAAGUGGGUAGCCGGUGGUGGAUGGCGGCUAGUCAGCAGCUGAGCGCACAAAAGGACAGGAAACUUGGAGCUUGGAGGUGGUCGAGAGGGUGGCAAGCUGGUGGUGCUCGCGUGGUGGUGGCGGAGACGCGCGGAGUGAGCUCGCCGCUGUGUGGGCUGUCGUGCUCGGUGGUGUGCGGAGGAUGGAGGGCAGCCGAAAGAAGAAAUAAAAGAAAAGGAAAGCAGGGCAGCGGGGAAGAAGAGAAGGAAAGAAGAGAAGGAAAGAAGAGAAGGAAAGAAAGAAAGAAAGAAAGAAAAAGAAAAGAGAAAAAAAGAAAAAGAGAGAAAAAGAAAAGAGAAAAAAAAAUAGUUUUGUUUUGUUUUGUUUUUUUUUUUGGAAUCUUAAUUUUUUUCUUUUUGGGGUUUUUUUUUCUCAAUGUUUUUUUUUUCAAAUUUUUUCCUGAAAUUUGAAAUUCCAAAAUUUGAAUUUUUGAAGAGAAAGAAAAAUGCCUUUUGAAUUUUUGAAUUUUCUCAAUGUGAAAUUUUGAAACUUUUUUUUUUUUUUCAUGUUUUGGGUCGUCAAACACCGCGUGGGCAUGCCAAGAUUACAAAACAUCCACUGACCUCAGGAGACCCAAACACCGCGUGGGCACGCCAAGAUUGGUGUUCGUCCUCUGAUCUCAGGAGACCUAAACACCGCGUGGGCACGCCAAAAUUUCACUUCCUGAUCACAGUGGAGAAAAAUAUCAAGACCAACUACUAUCCAAAUGAGAAACAACAGAACGAAAGAAUUGAACAACUAAUAAUAAAACCAAUAUUUGGGUUGCCUCCCAAAAAGCGCCUUUCUUUAAUGUCUUUGGCUAGACACUGUUAUGUCUUGUUCAUGGAGGAUAAAAUCUUGUGGCUCGCUUCAAUGCUUUAUCUUCAAUAUGAUCCUGGUAACCCUCAUAGAUGGAGUAAUCUUUGAGCACACGAGCUACGGGCUUCCAUGGACUAAUAAAUGGUGCUAAACAAGUCAACGAUAAUUUGCAUUCUCCAUUCACUCCUCCAUCACAUGCAUUCUUCGGUGCAAGAUAUUUUUUCAUUGCCACUCUUAACUUAUUCUUGUCAUGAAAUUUCAAAUUUUCUGGUAUAAUAAAAUCAAUUUCAAUAACAGGAAUUGAAGAAUAGGAGUCAGGAAAAUAUUGAUUAAGGAGUGGAGAAGAUAUCACCGCAUUUGGAGAUUGUUCACUGGAUUCAUUCACUUGAAUGGGUUGCGGUUGGGGUUCCAUUUCUUCAUUUUUGGCUUCUUUUUCAACUGCAUCUGCAGAUUUCUCAUUUUGACACUCUUGCAUCUCCUCAUCACUAGUCAAGCAAAUUGCACUCUCGUAUUCUUCUAGAUCAACAACGGUUUCCGAGGGCAAUUCUUCAAUUUGAGAAGCCAAUCGACUUAUUCUGGAUGUCAAUAGACACAUUUGAUCUUCCAGAUUACUCAUUGCAUCCUUCAUCAUCUCAUUCCUCAUUUGUGUCUCCUGUUGGAAUUGGUAUGUAUUAGUAGCUAAUGAUUCAACUAUUUCUUCAAGAGACAUACCUGACAUAGAUGAUGAUUCUUGAGACUCAUACUGCUGAAAAUUCAUUGGCCCUGUUGUAUAAUUAUAACUGGAGUUAUCCCACCAUCCUUGAUCAUAGCCGUUUGGAUUAGGGUUAUACCACGUUUGAUAGGGUGAAAAUCCCAAUAAUUAUUGAGUCAACACUAGAUCUAUCUUGAUAUUCGGGCAGGUCCCUUGGGAAUAACUUGAGCAAAAUAAUUCCACAAAUUUGCAACAGCCAUGCAUCAUAGAAAACAUGAGUCUCAGUAACCCAUUCAGAACAAAGUUCAGUAUAUCAUCAAAAUAUGGAAUGUUAGCAGCCCCAAAAAAAAAAUAAAAAUAAAAAUAAUAAAAAAAAUAAGAGAGAAAAAUAAAAUAAUAAAAAUAAAUAAAAUGAAAAACAAAUAAACUCAAAAAAAAAUAAAUUAAUCUGACACCAGGCCCCGCAACCGGCGCCAAAAAUUGACAGGCCGACCUGUUACAAUAAUAAAAACCUACUCGAGAAAAAUACAGAUUUUGUAUUAUAGCGGUGAGUAGGGUCGAAUCCACAGGAUUGGGAUAAUUCGUUCUUUAGAAGCUUCAAGAGUAUGGGGGGGUUUUGGAUUAAAUGCUAACUAAAUAAAUUAACUGCAGAAAAUAAUUAAGUAAAAGAAAAUAAUUAGGAUAGCUCUAGCCAAAGGUAUACUUCAGAAAUGGUUCAGGCACUGAUCAUUGAUUCGCAGAUAAUUCCAACAUUUAGUAAUAGAUUAGUUAUAGUUGUCAUGCACGCGAUAAACAACCAACCCUUUCCUUAAUUUCUCGAUAGCUAAGUACGACCGUUAGCUAUUUCUCUAAACCAAAAAUAACCCCAGGUACGACCGUGGAAUUUAAUUUCUAGAUUGCAUUAAUAAUUAGAAAGGCCCAAUUCUAACUAACAAACACGCUACGAGGGUUUGUUUAAGUUAGAUCGUAUGCUCCCCUGACAUAAACCCAAUUACGCCAGUCGCUACUAAGAUAGAGAUAACGAAUAAUUACGGAUUCAAUUACCUCUAUUUAGCAAAAUAGCCUAUAUGAAUAAUUAAUUAUUGCGCACUAAUCAAUCAUACACAAGAGCUAUAACAGUUAAAAGCAGGAAACAUAUGAAUACCAAUAAAUGGAGGAAACAAUUAAAAUAAAUUCGAUCUCACAGUAAUUGUUGAACCAAGUCUUCAGUUGUCCCCUUGACUAGAAUCAAGAGGUUAGUCCUCCAUUAAUGGAGAACAACCAUGCGAAAGAGCUAAGAAAAGAAAACUAAAACUAUCCUAAAAACUGUCUCAAACUAUUCAUAAAGGCUCUCGAUAAGAGCUCUCCCCGAAAGACCAAAGUUCCCUCUUCUAAACAAAUGACUACCUCUCUCCCUUGUUGGUCUCUCGGAUGAUAAGGAAAAGAUAAGACAAAAAGUCAAGUGCUACCUAAUGUCCUGUUUUCUCGUUUCCUAUUGCUAGUCAAUUAGCUAGUACAAUGCACUCCUCAUCAGCACAAAGAAAAGGAAAUCGUUUUCUUCUUCUCCUUGUGGGCCAGCAACCGAAAAAGGCUUCCUUGUAGCACCAUAUGGGGCCCAACUGUUUGAAGUCUCAAUUGUAUAGUGGAAAAUCCCUCAUUUUUUGUAGUUUUCUGUUUCACUUCCUGAAAUUGAGUCCAAUACCAAAUAUAAGUAAAUAUUAAUAAUUAAAACAAUAUUUGGCAAGGAUAAAGGGGAAAAUUAACAAUAAAAUAACCAACAAUUAACACCCUAUCAAGAAGAGAAGAUGGAAAGGAGCUCUGCUCCUCCCUUGUCAACCUCACCAGCCUUCGGGAAUUAAGUGUUGCUUCAGUUGGAAAAGGUGAUGAUUAUGGGAUAAUUGAUCUAAAUCAUCAUCAACAUUCUCUUUCUUCUUCUUCUUCUUGUUCGUUUCUUCGAUCUCUUCGUAUGCUAAUUAUGCGUGGCCGCUUAGAAACGAUGCCAGUAUGGAUAACUCAUCUUCAAAACUUGGUAAAAAUAAUUAUGAACUGGAGCGGGUUAAGGGCUGAGGAGGAUCCACUUGAAUCCCUCCAACAUUUGCCCAAUUUGGAUGAAAUUAGUUUCUGUGGAUCUUACCAGGGAGAAAGGUUGUGUUUCAAGGCUGGAGGGUUCCUAAAGCUGAAACGGUUGUGGUUAAGGAGAAUGGAAGGGUUGAGAUGGAUGACAGUGGAGGAGGGUGUGUGCCCAAAUCUCCGAAGACUAUUUCUGGAGCAACUUCCAUUACUAGAGGACUUACCCUCGGGAAUUCAGCACUUGACCCAUCUUCAAGAGCUGGGUUUGUAUAAGUUGAGUUCUCGACUGAUGGAAAAGGUCGAGAAUCAGGAGGAAGACAGUGAAGAUUACAGAAGAAUGGCACACAUUCCUGAAAUUGUCAUUGGUUUUUAUACAGAUGAUGGUGGAUGGAGUAUCCGCCGGCUAUGGGGGAAGCAGAAGGAAACAAUUCUUGCCUAGCACUAGCAGCAUCCCGUGGCUUUCCUUUCUCUUCUUCUUCUAUUUUUCUGAGAAGUUUCUGAAGUUUUCUAUCUUCUCCAUUGCGUGUAGUAUGGUGCAUUGCAUCAUCAUCUUGUUCAUAUCCUGCAUUUUGUUAAUGUAUUUUGUUAACUGUUUUUCUUUAAUUUUAACUUCAGCAAAUGAAGCAUUCUUACCUACCUCCCCAAAUGAAUCAAUUUGUCCAUAAGUCUAUAUAAAGAUUGCAAUGCAUAUAGCAUAGUGCCAAAUUUGAGAAUGACGAUCUUCUUUUCACUCUUCAAUUUUAGAUAACAAAAGGGUCUUAUCCCAAUCUGUUAAGCAAUAUGCUUCCACGUACGUACGUAUAGCUGUAAAUUACAAUUCGAUUAUAUUACUUCAUCCACACCCAUCCAUUUAUAAGUGAAUUUGCAUGCGCAAUGAAUUUUAAAUAGGUUUAUAGGUUUAGAUGGGUGAGUCGAUCAAACAAUAAAGUCCAAUUCAUGGCAUAUACAUCAAACAUAAUCAUAUUUCAGAACAGAACAGACACUAUUUUUAAACAGAGCAGAAGAAAAGAGCGGACUAAAGAUCAGAUAGACAAGGGUGGAGUAGAUCAGAUAUGAGUAGUAAACAAUUCAUAAACAUAAUGGUUUAAAGAUAUCAAAACAUAAAUGCAGUUAGUUCAACAGUAUUUUGACUUCACCUCAACAUGACAAAGAAACAUCGCACAUAAAUGAAUAUGUCCUCUAUUCUCUAACUUCUUCUUACAGGAAGUUUUUCUAUCAAAAAAUCUAUACAUUUUUUCUGAGCAUAUUCCCCAAUCACCUUUUUAUUUUAUAUAUAUCAAAUCGUUACAAUAUAUUUUUUUUUUACAAAAACUGCAUAUAUUUUCUUUUCAUAUGAUUAUGUUGGAUGUAUAUGCCAUCAAUUGCACUCAUUUAGUUCCCGUCACAAGCAAAACUGGUAACAUCUAAAUUAACCAAAUUUUAUUUCUAUGAAUAUGUGGACUAUAGAUAAAAUAAUAAUGCACGGCAAGUGCCUUAAUCCUUGCUAUUUUAUUUGUCAAAUCAUCAUUUAUUUCCCCUAGACUCAUAAAGUCCAAUAUUAAACCGAUGACUUAUAUAUUGCUGGAAUCGCACAUAAUAUUUUGUGAAUGAUACUCCUUAGUAGGGCUGCAAACGAGUCGAGUCGAGUCGAGUCGAGUUUUGCUCUAAUCGAGUCGAGCCUUGAUUUAAUUUUGUCGAACUUGAACUCGAGCUCGAUAAGCUGACAAUUUUGAAGCUCGAGCUCGAAAAAAUAAAAAUAAUUAUUUUAUUUUUAAAAAAAUAAAUAAAAUAAUAUUUUUUCUUAAUAAAUAAUAAAAUAUUAAGGAUAUUUAUGUAAUUUUACUAUUAAAAUAAAAAAAUAAAAAUAUAUAUAUACUUGAGCUUGCGAGCCGGCUCAAUAUUUUGAAUUCGAGUUCGAGUUUGACUUUGACUCGACUAGCUCGAGCUCGAGUCGAGCUUGAAUGAGCUGCUCGUGAGUUUCAGUUGCACCCCUACUCCUUAGUGAUUUGUGCAAUGAUAUCUAAUUCGGGUUGGUUAUCACGAAACCGAUAGCCAAUAUGAGUAUGUAAUUCUCCCGUAGGAACUUCACCAACAAAUUUUCUUAACCCUUCAAAAAAAAAAA
rnacentral:lncRNA from 1 species